rnacentral:lncRNA from 1 species
UAGUUCUUGUUCCUCCACGGCGUUGUAUCUGCUGUUGUAUCUGAUGCUCGAAGUAGAUGUCAUGUGGCGGCGCCCUCCCGUGCUGCGAAACCAAACUGACUUGGCCUGAGUUUCGUCGUUGUUCCAUGCUCCCGGCUAUCCUAGAUGGUAGGUAAUGUCGGAACACAGGGGGAUGGUGAGGCAGUGUUGUUACCAUAUGAUCCAAGGGGUACUUUUUCUUUCUUCAUGCUGAACCUUGUACUGUGUAGCUUCUAUGCUGGUGUUUCAUGCUAGUGAUUUUUAGCAGUAAAUGCAUGUAACCUGACUAUUUGAAUGAUUUGAACAAAGUUGUGCUCAUGGUGUCACACUACAGAGUUCGGAGCUCGAUUUUAUUUAAGCUUUCCUUGCGGAGCCAAAAACAAACUCUUUUAUCCCUCUUCGGAAUGUCGAUAUAGCCACAUUUGGAGCCAGUUACGUAUUCAGAAGUACUCCCUCCGUAAACAAAUAUAAAAGCGUUUAGAUUACUAAAGUAGUGAUCUGAAUAUUCUCCGAUGAACUCUUUAAGCUUCACAUAAACAGGAGCCAAACAGUUAUGGAUCUGAAAGCAAAAGGUCAAACUUGAUGCAUAUGCCGAUGAACUCUUUAAGCUUCACAUAAACAGUAGAGCCAAACAAUUAUGGAUCUGAAAGCAAAAGGUUAGAUGCGCCUGGAUUAUUUUAGUGCAGUAUAUGGUGAAGACGAGUCUUCAAAUAUGGAUGUUCAACUGCUUACAAUUGCGUAUACAGUGGCUUUACAAUUUUAAACAGCAAUUUUUAAAGAUGCACAUGCCUUUGUUUAGUUGCAAACAUUAACAGUUCUCACAAUCCAGCAAUUGCGUAUACAGUGGUUUCACUUUUGAUGAAAGAAGUGGUACGCAUCCAAUGUCAUCUGCACAUAAAACAGCAUGUAGCGAUUAAAUAUGUCCAUUUACUAGAUCGUGCACCAAUAAUAUUUUUUUGAGAAAUUCGUGCACCAAUAAAUAAUUGUAUUCAGGUGGACAGGGUCCGUAUACGCCCAAAUCGUUCGGCCGGUGAUGCUAGACUGGGCUGGGCUUGGCCCAAAGCGUAUGAUGCCGCACUGCGCGUACGCGAGGGAGAUCGCCCUUGGUUGGAAGACGCGCGACGAUUCAGCGGUUGCUCCGCUCUGCUCUGCUCGUCCAAAGCCCUAGCCGCCAGGUCUGCCAGAAAGAAAAUUCCCACAAAAAAAAUGAUGGUCUUCCUCCGAUCUCCUCAUCGCUACCUGUGAUGGCGAUAGCGUGGGACUUGAGGUGGGGGCGCAGUACAUGAACUAAUCGUGGGCCGACCAAGAAGCCUAGCUCCGUGCUCUCCAGUACAGGUUAAUCUUAAUCUUUUUUUCUCCGUGUUUAUCGGAGUCUACUAAGUCUUCUUGCUAUGGCUGUUGAAUUUCUUGUUUGGAUUUUUUAGUCUAGGAACGGGCCUGUUCGUAUGAUGUGAAAAAGGGGGACUGUUCAUAGGGUGUUGUCUGGCUUUCCCAAGCAAGCAUUGAUCAGGAACUUGUGGUAAACUAGAGUCAGGAAAAAUUCGGUUUCAUGGAUUUUCGCUGCUAUUACAGUGAUUCAUCAGGUUUGUGCCUCAAGCCUUGUUUGGUUAGAGGGAUCUACCGGGAUUACAGUUAGGUCCACAAGAUAGUUAGGGCAUAUUUCACAGGUUAUAUCCUGAAUAUUCUCAAACUAAAUGCAUGCCGAUGAACCCGGUAAGCUUCACAAAAACAGUAGAACCGAAUAAUUAUGGAUUUCAAAGCAAAAAGAUUGAUGCGCCUGGAUUAUUUUAGUACAGUAUAUUAAUCAAUUAAGGAUGAUGAAGACGAGUCUUCAAAUAUGGAUGUUCAACUGCUUACAUUAAGGAUGGACAUGCCUUCGUCUAGUUGCAAACAUAGACAGCUCGCACCGUAUUAUCCAGCAAUUGCGUACACAGUGUGCAGACUACGCAUCCAAGAUCAUCUGCAUAUAGUACAACAUGAUGUACGUAGAUAUUAAUAUGACCAAUUCAUAUCAUGCAGGAAUAACCGCAUUCGGCUAGCCAAGAUUCAGAUCCGCCCAAAUCAUUGCAAACUCUGACAUCACAAAUCACAAGGUAUGUAGUGCAGUUAUGCGAUAAACAGAAUGUGUACCAGGUAAAUACAAGAAGAGUAAAUGAAUAAGUAGAACAACAAGGGGAGAUUUAUAUUACAGAGAAGGCCGAUCAUCAUAUAAAUACAUUUGAACAGAAGGGCAUGUUGGGUGCACAUCGGCUGCCCUCCUCAAGGCAGACUCGACAUCACUGUUCUUGUGGACGGAGGAUGUGACACCUACACGGAUGUGCUCGAGGGCUAACAGGUGCUCCAUCCCUAAUGGUGUAGCACCACCCCACCCAUCAUGUACUUGUAGAUGGAGCUGUCGCAGCUUGGGCAUCGCCCCUGCCUCGAACUCCAUGCAUACCAUAGCAGAAUAAAUUACAAAAAACCAUCACAAUUGAGCACCCUAAUUCAGAAAACCAUCACCAUUCGAAUUUUUUUCAAAAAACCACCACCAUUGUGCUAACAAUUUUCAGAAAGCACUUAUCACUGGAUUAUCACUGUAUUAGAGACGUUUGACAAAAAACUGACCGCUGGGUCCCAUGGUCAGGUGCCACGUAGCGAGGACGAGAUAACGCCGCUACUAAACUAAACCGGCCCACCUCCCACCUCACGCAUCUCUCCCCACCCCGACUCACCCUUUGCUGCCGUCCAGGAUCCAACUGCCGGCGGCGCCCACUGCCUGAACGAGGAGGUCUCAUAUGGCCGGGUCAACGGAGACGCCACACCGUCGCUGCAAAGCCGCCGCGGCCUGGCACCGCGCGGCAACUGCCCCGUCGCUCCAUGACCGCCGCCACUCUCCAUGUCCCGGCGACAGAUUCGAGCACUGCCGGCUUCCGUGCGCCGCCCGGCGACGAAUCCAAGCGGUGUCGGCCCCGAGCGCAGCCCCGACGGCGGAUCCGGGGCGAUGCGACCUCCCGCUGUGCCAGCGGGCAUGCCGACCGCCGGAUCCAGCACGCGGGAGGGCAACGGCGGAUACCAGCUCACGACGGCAGCAAGCACCAGGGCCUCUCCGGCCUCGUCCUCCCGCCUGAGCCCCCACCUGCAGGUCGACGGGAGGGACAUCCAGUGGAGACCGUCGUGGCUCCCCGCUGCACACUGCUGUGCGCCAGGGCUCCUUCACUUCGUGAUCUCGCCGGCGUUGUGGGGCAGCUCCUGGGCAUGAGGAGAUCCAGCCCGGCUCCACUCCGAUGGGCAUGACUGGAGGCGGUGGCUGCCACCGCCGGGGGACGCAGGCGCGCCUGCCGCACCGCGCCGCCCGGGUCGGCCACGACCAGCCACCUCGCUGGCUGUAGCCUGCCACCUGCUGCUUCCUUCGCUUGCCGCCGACCUCCAGCGAUCCGUGACAUCUCCGACGACGGAUCCAAACGGCACCGGCCACCCAGGCAGUUCUCUUUCCUUGUCCGGAUGCCGCCGGCAGAGAGCUCACGAACUGCUCGAUGGAAUGCCAGAGAAAGGGACGAAGAGAGAUAGGAGAUGCUGACAAGUGGGCUCACAUCAAGUUAACGGUCCAUGCGGACGGAGUCAAUUUUUCAUGCCAUGUCAUCACUUGCAAGUGGGAUCCAGCAGUCAGAUUUUGCGUCAAACAUCUCUAAUCCUGUGAUAAGUGUUUUCUCAAAACUGUUAGCACAAUGAUGGUGGUUUUUUGAAAAAAAAUCGAAUGGUGGUGGUUUUCUGAAUUAGGGUCCCCAAUUGUGAUGUUUUUUUGCAAUUUACUCACCAUAGCAUCAUCAGAGACGAGUCUAAGGUCUUCCAGAACUGGAAAUAAUCCUGUGCGGACUAUUGGCGGCACCACUAUGUUCAGUGAUACUCGACACAGAGAGAAACAUGUCAAUGAGGGAGGGCAGUUUUCCGACAACGUGAACCUCAUUAGUCGAUAGCUACUCAACCGACAAAGUCAGGCUGCGGAGGCAAUGGAGGUCGCCAAUCCAAUUGGGAACUCUCUUCAAUAUCCAUCCUAGCAUAUAAAGAACCUCGAUAUGGAGAGGAGGGUUGGAUAACGAGUACAUCCGGCAACAAGAAUGUUUAGAAAACACACCAUUAGCACUGACAAAGAGGUAUUUGAGGUCACGGAGCCUCGCAAUUGAGGAGACCAAAGCAUCAACUAUCUCCUCCGCCACCAUUUUGCCAGAGAAGCUCAGCAUUCUCAGACCAGUCAGCUCAUCGCCAAUGCCCUUAAUAUCCUCGAUAUGGAGAGGAGGGUUGGAUAAUGAGUACAUCGGGCCGCAAUGAUGUUGAGAAGACAAAGCACUGACCUUGAGGUAUUUUAGGCCAUGGAGCUUUCCAAUUAGGGAUACCAAAGCAUCAACUUCACCCGCCACCACAUCAGUAUAAAUCCUCAACUCCCUCAGGCUGGUCAGCUCACCAAGGCCCUUAAUAUCCUCUAGCGAGAUAUUCAUACAGUGUAGUGCACGCAAUGAUUUUAUGUUGGAAAUCCCUUGAGGAGGACAUGGUUGAAUCGGAAGGAUCAGACGAGACAACCGUGGCAAGCAAACAAUAUCUGACGGGAUGCUUCGUGCACCACCAGAUAUUUCCAGGGUCUCCAAAUGAACAAGCCCGCGAACUUCAGCAGGCAGAUCUAUUGAGCUUGGGAAUGUAGAAACCUUCAGAUAUCUUAGCUGAAACAAUUGACCGAUUGCAGUGAGGUCGACUAUCGUACUCCUCGUAAAUGGGAAUAUAAACACCAGCACCCGAAGGUACUUAAAUAGUGAAAGAGGAGGUGUGUACUUGGACUCUCCAAAUUGUGCAAAUGAUCGAACUUGUGACAUGCUAGUAUCAACGAUCCUCAAUGUUGCAUCAUUGGUGCUUGAUUUCAAGGACAACCUACGGACCUUGUACUCACAGGCAUGCAUUCUUGCCAUGCCUUCACAAUUAUAUGCCACGUUGAUAAAAUUUUGGUCUGCACAUUUGCUGACGAUCAGAUCAAGCAUUAUAUCAUGUACUCUGCAAUACUCCACCUCUCCAGACUUUGAGGUCUCAGCCGGCUGAAUCAGGCUUCUAUUGAUAAGCUCAUUAAAAUAACUCUUCCCGGUAUCCUCCAAGUCUGACCCAUGAGAACAAUUGACAAGGCCUUCAGCUAUCCAUUGUAAAACCAGAUCAUGCCUCCUGACCAUUUCGUCUUCUGGAUACAUGCCAAGAUACAGGAGACAUGGGCGAAGAUGAAGAGGAAGAUGCAUGUAGCUAAGGUUUAGUAUACUCCUCAUCUCUUCUAAGGUGGGAUUUGUGGCAAUCUUGGCGCCCAAAGAAUUUCUUAUGCUCUCCCACUUGUCCGUUGACCUUGUUUGAUGACUAGCUAAUAGACUAGCUAUAGUGAUGAUUGCAAGUGGCAAGCCUCCACACUUCUUCAAAAUUUCAACCAAAACUUCUUUUAAGUGUGAUGGGCAGGCAUAUCCGGAACCAAAUACUCUAUUACAGAACAACAUUCUUGAGUCUUGUUCUUUGAGGGGUUCCAUUCUAUAAACACACUCAUGGUCAUUGUGACACGCCCAAAUAGCCACAUCCUCCACUCGUGUAGUUACUAUUACUCUACUUCCAUUCCCGACUUCUGGAAAGAUACAACUCAUGAUAUUCCAUGCUGAUUGAUUCCAUAAGUCAUCAACUACAAUAAGGUACCUGUUAAUUUUCUUUUACACAUUAGCUAUACUGAAUUAUGAUAUGACUACAAGUUGCAGACGAAAGCACCAAAACAUGAAAGUGAACAUAGACAAAAAAACAAGGGUUCAAGCAAAUUGAUGAUAGUCCCACCGUCAAUUUAGCAUGUAAGUAGGCUAUAAAGAUUAAAAUAUUAUAUUUUCGCUGAGUUGGAUAAGAGAGAAGGAAAGCAAGUUGUAGAUUAAGAGACAACUGCAACAGGGACUCCAAAAAACAUUUUGAGAGUGUGAGGCGUGACAUAGAUUAAUAAAUUAGUACUUCUUUGUAGCUAACUACUAUACAUGUUGGCUAUUAGCUUGCCUAUAGAUGACAUGGCAACAAGAUAUAGCCAACACUUUGCUCUACUAUUAACCUUGCUCUUAUGCUUUUAAUUAAUAGUCACGAGUUGGCUAUAGUUACAGCAGGCCAAUAAAAUACUUAGGGCACUCACAAUGACAAUUAGCAUAGAUAAAUGCUGACGUGACACUGUGUAAUCAAAGAGGAAAGAGAGUAGAGUUGCAGUAUGCUUAGUGUAGAUAGGGUCUUUUUAACUCGUUUCUCUUCUUUCCUUCUCUCCACUACUAGGCCACGAUGUUGAGAUGCAGAAAAAGAUCCAUAAUAUAAUUGAUACAAUAUCGUUUGGAUACGACCCUUAACAUAUAGUGCAUUGAGUUGAUUGUCUCUAAGAUUUUUUCACUACCUAGGAUGACGUGUUAAGAUACAAUGCACCGUGAUUGCCCUUAAAACAUGCUACCCCCUCCAUCUGGGUUGUAGGUGUUGGAUUAUAGAUGGGUUUUGGCCCAUAUAAGGCAAUAAUCCCUGGUUAACUUCUAAGGCCCAUUUAGGUGCAUGAAAAGUGACGGGAAGUUUAGUAUCAUACUGUUAGUGAAAUGAGAGUGAGACUCAUUUAUAAGGGUUGCUCUACCACAUGCCAUUGAAAGCUUGAGAAGAGGAGUUACACGUGCGCUCCUCCUCCUCCGCCACCCGCCUCGCCUCGUCAUGACGCGCGCGCGCCGACGGUUGUGGGAAUGAGCCGAGCCUUAUUUUUUAUCCUGCCCGCAUCGACACCAUGGACGGCGACUCGUGGAUUAGAUUAAUCGGUAAGGUGCUAAUAUUUCCAGCAAUCCAAAGGGUUGGCAGACAAGGACCACCUUGUGGCUCACAACAAUGAACGUGUCCUGGCUUGGUGGUGUGUCCCCCAUGAAAACGAUUGCUCCUGAACAGGAGAAGGCGUUUAGGGAGGCAACCACCAUCUUUGUGGGAGCAAUUCUGAGUGUGAUUGGAGACAAGUUGAUUGAAACAUAUAUUCAUAUGCGAGUUGCCAAAAACUUGUGGGAUGCACUUGAAGUUAAGUUCGGCACAACCGAUGCUGGAAGCGAACUAUAUGCUACAGAGCAGUUCCAUGAUUACAGGAUGGUUAGAACUCCCUCCUGGAUGGAGGAACUUUGCUACUUCUCUCAAGCACUUGAGACAAGAAUUCUCUGUUUUGGACGUCAUCGGUCAUCUAAGUGUUGAGCAAAAGAGCAAAUGACUCACACAUAAAAGGGGCAGAGGGUUCUUCUAGCGUCAAUGUGGUGUAGAAGAAUUUCCACAAGUUCAAGGGAAAGAACACUGUACAGCAGAAUACUACCUUCAAGAACAAGGGUAAGAAGAAAGUCAAAAAGAGAGAUGACUGCUUUACUUGUUGUUGAGAGGAACAUUGGGCAAACAAGUGUCCAAACAAGUACAAGAAAUCAGGACAGGACUCCAAGCCAAUCAAUGUGACUAUGAGCAACAAUGAUCGAGCAUCUAGGUAUGGUAAUCUGUUUACCGCACUUCCAAUUUAUCAGUCCACGGAUUGGUGGGUUGACACAGAUGCAAAUAUUCAUUUGUGUGCUGACAUGUCUUCGUUCUCUUCUUACCAGGUCACACGAGAAUGCUUUCGUCCUGAUGGGGAAUGGCUCGCAUGCUUUUGUUCAUGGUGUUGGCACGGUAGAUCUAAAGUUUACUUCGAGAAAGAUCAUGCAACUGAAGGACGUGCAACAUGUCCGCCAUCAAGAAGAAUCUCGUUAGUGGCUCCCUUCUAUGUAAAGAAGGGUUUAGGUUAGUAUCCAAGUCCAAUAAAGUAGUCAUAUCUCGAUAUGUACUGUUUGUUGGAAAAUGAUUGAUUGCGGAGGUUUGUUUUGCCUCUCCCUAGCGGAUUUCUAUAAUAAAGACAUGAACCAAAUUCAUUCUAGUGUGAAAGAAUCUGAGGUUUGGCAUUCACGUCUUUGUCACAUUAAUUUCGGUUGUAUGACGCGGCUAGCCAAGAUGGAUCCAAUCCCGAGUUUCACUUUAGCCAAAGGCUCUAAGUGUCAUUCGUGUGUGUAAGCAAAGCAACCUCGUAAGCCUCACAAGCCUGCGAAGGAGAGAUACUUGGCACCACUAGAGCUCAUACAUUCAGAUCUGCGCGAGAUGAAUGUGUUGACUAAAGGAGGAAAGAAGUAUUUCGUGAUGUUGAUUGAUGAUUCCACUAGAUUCUGCUAUGUGUAUUUGUUAAAUACUAAGGAUGAGGCUCUGCACUACUUUAAAAUCUGUAAGGCAGAAGUUGAGAACCAACUUGAAAAUAAAAUAAAAUGAGUUCGGUCUGAUCAUGGUGGAGAGUACUUUUCUAAUGAGUUCAAUUUAUUCUGUGCGGAACAUGGUAUUAUUCAUGAGAGGACGCCUCCCUAUUCACCCUAGUCAAAUGGGGUUGCCAAACGGAAAAAUCCCACUCUAACAGAUUUGGUUAACGCCAUGUUAGAUACAUAGGUUUUAUCCAAGGCAUGGUGUGGUGGGGGGAGGUUGUAUUGUGAUCAUGUCAUGUCCUGAAUAAAGUUCCCACGAAGGAUAAUGAGACAACUCCCUAUGAUCAAUGGGAGAAGAAAAGAACUACACUCACUUACUUAUGCACUUGGGGCUGUUUGGCGAAAGUCAACAUCCGAUAACUAAAAGGCGUAAGUUGGGUCCGAAGACUAUGGACUGUGUUUUUCUAGGCUAUGCCAAGCAUAGCAUUGGCUGUAGAUUUCUAGUGGUGAAAUCUAAUGUACAUGAUAUGAAGGUUGGUACGAUCAUGGAGCCUAAAGAUGCUACAUUCUUUUAGGAUAUUUUCCCCAUGUGAGAUAUGCAAAGCACUUCUUGACUAGAAUCUGAUGAGACUCUUGAACCUGCCAUUCCGAUGGAAUAUUAUGAGCACAAAGGUGAUGAAAGUUCCAUGAAGGAUGACGAGGAAGCUCCUGUUAGAAGCAAGAUACAAAGUACUGCAAAGUCCUUGAUGAUGAUUUCCUCGUGUACCUGUGGAUGACACCCCUAGUUCCAUUUCAGAAGGUUAUGCAUCACCAGAUGCUGACUAUUGGAAGGGUGCGGUCCGUAGUGAGAUGGUUUCCAUCUUGGCUAAUGGGACAUGGGAAAUCACUUAUCGUCCUUAUGGUUGCCAACCAUUGGGAUGUAAGUGGGUGUUCAAAACGAAGCUUAGAACCGAUGGUACUAUUGAGAAGUACAAGGCUAGACUUGUGGCCAAGGAUUUUACCCAGAAAGAAGAAGAAUAUUUUUUAGAUACUUAUUCACCUUUGGCUAGACUGAUAACCAUUCGAGUGUUACUCUCGUUGGCUGCCUCACAUGGUCUUCUCGUCCAUCAGAUGGAUAUUAAGACGACUUUCCUUAACAGAGAGCUAGACGAGGAAAUUUACAUGCAACAGCCAGAUGACUUUGUAGUAAAUGGUCAGGAAAGAAAGACGUGCAAGUUAUUGAAAUCUUUGUAUGGCCUGAAACAAGUGCCUAAGUAAUGGUAUGAGAAGUUCAAUACAACUCUGAUAUCUGUUGGCUUCGUUGUUAACGAUGCUGAUAAAUGUGUAUACUAUCGCUAUGGUGGGGCCGAAGGAGUUAUACUGUGUCUGUAUGCUGAUGACAUGCCGAUAUUUGGGACCCACCGCAAAGUCAUUGAGGAGGUCAAACUUUUCUAUAUCAUAACUUUGAGAUGAAAGAUUUUGGCGUGACUGAUGUUAUCUUGAACAUCAAGCUACUGAGAGAUAAUGAGGAUGAAAUUACACUUCUGCAAUCGCACUAUGUUGAAAAGAUUUUGAGUCAUUUUGAAUAUUUUGAUCGCAAAUCUUGUGCAACACCAUAUGAUCCUAGCGUGCGGAUUCGAAAGUUUGAAGUCACGGCUAUAGAUCAAUUGAGAUACUCUCAAGUAAUUGGUUCACUCACAUACCUAGCUUGUGCUACUCGACCUGAUAUCUCAUAUUGUUGUCUCCAAACCGAGCCGGUUUGUUUCCAAUCCAGGAAUGUGCACUGGCAUGCUGUUGAGCGAGUGAUGCGUUAUUUGCAAGGUACUGUGAACUAUGGAAUUCACUAUUCUGGGUACCCGAUGGUACUUGAAGGGUAUAGUGAUUCAAAUUGGAUAUCUGAUGCCGAUGAGAUGAAAGCGACAAGUGGAUAUGUGUUCACACUUAGUGGCAGUGCUAUUUCCUAGAAGUCUUGCAAGUAGAUGAUCUUAACGAGAUCGACUAUGGAAGCAUAACUUACAACAUUAGACACAUCAUGCAUCGAAGCAGAAUGACUUCGAGAGCUUUUGAUGGAUUUGCCAAUGGUUGAUAAGCUAGUCCUGGCUAUCCUUAUGAACUAUGAUAAUCAAAUAGUGAUUUACAAGGCUAAGAGUUCAAAGGACAACAUGCAAUCCACAAAGCAUAUAAGAAGAAGAUUAAAAUCGACCACACAUUCAAGAAACUCCGGAGUAAUAGCGUUGGAUUAUAUCCAGACGGCUAAGAACCUGGUAGAUCCCUUUAUGAAAGGGCUAUCAGGAUUGUGAUAGAAAAUGCAUCGAGGGAGAUGGGCAUGAGACCCAGGUAAGUUGCCAUGGGGGUAACCCAACCUAUGUGAUCGGAGAUCCCGUGAAUUAGAACCUGAGAAAGCAAUCCAGCGGUCAACUGGGGAGAUUAUCCUUACUAACCCACUCCGUUGAAGAUGCAAUACUCUCAUAAUAUGUAAGGCAUGAUGAAUUUUGUCUUAAUGUGUUCCAAAGCUUGUAUAAGCAAGAUGAUAUCCUACAUAACAAUCUUUGGAAGGAACACACCUAUGUGAACCCGACUACUGACCAUAGUCUAUGAGAUAGGGUAAUCUCUAGGAAGCUCAUGAGAAGGCCAGGAGUAUGACUAAUAAGCUCCACCCAUGGGGUUUACCCUUCGGCAGCCACAUAUCAGCUGACACUAGGUGAAACUUCUGCACGCUAAACUGAAAAUUCAAGGUAUAGUCCAUUGUUCAUUUAUGAAGAAGUCUAAUCCUGUUGCUCUAGGUGGAAGUUCAAGUUAACAGUCUCAAUUGAAAAUUCUGGUAUAUCAAAACAUUGUUUGGAACAGUUGAUAAACUUAUGUGCCUCGAGAUCUGGUGGGGGAUUGUUGGAUUAUAGAUGAGCUUUGGCCCAUACAAGACAAUAAUCCCUGAUUAAUAUCUAAAACCCAUUUAGGUGCAUGGCAAGUGGUGGGAAGUUUAGUACCAUACUGUUAGUGUAGUGAGAGUGAGACCCCUUUACAAGGGCUUCUCUACCACAUGCCAUUGGGUGCUUGGGAAGAGGAGUUGUAGACGCGCCUCCUUCGUCGCCGCCCACCUUGCCUCGUCAUGACACGUGCGCCGCGGGUUGCAGGAAUGAGCCUAGCCUAGCCUUAUUUUUGUCGUUCAGGAAUGGUUAAUUAAUCUCGGAUUAAUUGAUGAGUCGCUACAGUAGUGCCAUUGUCACUAUUGGAGCCCAUAGCACAACAUGUGAUCCUGAAAAGCCAGACUGCUUUCCUCAAUGGCCAUAAUAUUUUGGAGGGUCCGAUCAUGCUUCUCGAGAUAGUACAUGAGCUAAAAUGUACCAAGGGGAAGGGUGUUCUGCUUAAGCUCGACUUCGAGAAAGCAUAUGAUCGAGUGAACUGGGAGUUCGUUCGGGAGGUGCUCCUCAAAAGGGUUUUGAGGUGGGCUUUGGUCACCGCAUUAUGCACCUGGUCAGUUGUGGGCAGACCGUGGUGACAAUUAAUGGAGAGACGGGCAAGUUUUUCAGAAAUAAGAGGGGUCUCCGCCAAGGCGACCCUAGCUCGCCGCUCAUCUUCAAUUUCGUAGCGUACACAUUGUCGGCUAUGCUUGCAAAGGCCAGAGCAGCGGGGCACAUCAGAGGGUUGGUGCCCCACCUCAUCCCAGGGGGAUGACUCAUUUGCAAUUUGCGGACGAUACUAUGUUGUUAUUCGAGCCUGACAACCAUAGUAUUGCCUCCAUUAAGCCGCUGCUCCUCGCCUUCGAGAUUUUGUCGGGGUUGAAAAUCAACUUCCUGAAAAGCGAAGUUAUCACUAUGGGGAUGGACCAGCGAGAGAGUAUGCGGAUUGCAAACCUACUUAAUUGCAAGCUUGGGGGAUUUUUGAUUAAGUAUCUGGGUCUCCCGGUCACCCAUCGGAAGAUUCCAAUCUCCAAGUCGGAACCGUUAUAUGGUGUAAAGUGGCAAACAGGGUUAGCCCGUGGCGAGGAAGGUUUAUGUUGUCGGCAGCUUGGUUGAUCCUCACCAAUUCCAGCCUUUCCUCCCUCCCACUCUUUACGAUGGGUAUGUUCCUACUGGCGGAUGGGGUGCAUGUGAAACUAGACACCCCGCGCUCUAGGUUCUUUUGGGAAGGAGCAGGAACAAAGCGGAAAUACCACCUGGUUAAGUGGGCGGCGGUAUAUAGACCCCAAAAAUCUGACGGCUUGGGGAUCAUCAAUUCCAAGCUCAUGAACGUUGCCUUGCUUACCAAGUGAUGGUGGCGACUCGCCCAAAAUGAGUCGGGACUUUGGGCGGGUCUGCUGUGGGCAAAGUACUUCCCGGACGAGAAUUAGUUUAAAGCUAAACCCUUGGGUUCGACUUUCUAGAACGGGAUUCAGGCAGUACGUCCGGCGUUCACGGUAGGGGCCCAUUUCUCCGUAAAUGACGGAAUGUCAACGCGCUUUUGGUUAGACAAAUGGCUCAAGGACAGCCUGCUGUGGCAGUUCGUCCCGUUACUCUACCGUAUAGCCACGGGCAUCAACACAAUGGUGGGUGACGCCUUGCAUACCUCACCACCGGUGAUUUACUUUCUGCGGCCCCUCUCAACGCAAGAAGCGACUAGUUGGGACGUGUUGCAGCCAAAGAUAGCAAACCGACCUCUCAGCUUGGGGGCUGAUGUGGUCUCUUGGGACUUGGCUACGUCCGAAAAGUUCUCGGUCAAAUCAUUGUAUGACAAACUGACCGAAGGAAGCGCCUUGGACAUAGCUAGGGGGCUCUGGAAGGCUGGGCUUCCGCUCAAGAUUAAGAUAUUCCUUUGGCAAAUGUUCAGAAAUCGCCUCCCAACGGCUGACAAUGUGGCCAAGCGCAAUGGCCCCUCCUAUGGCUCUUGUGUAGUGUGCGGGCUCAACGAGGACGCUAACCACGCUUUAUUUCAAUGCGUCUUAGCUAAGUUUGUGUGGAGUGCCAUUAGGGAUGUAUUCCACCAGAACUGGAACCCAAUGUCGGGUUCGGAUCUGUUGGCAGUGCUACAAACCCAGAAGGGGGUUAAUGCUAGGAUGCUGUGGCGUUGCGUGGGUGCGCUAUUGUGGUCCUUAUGCACGAUCCAGAAUAAGAUUACAAUCGAGAGAAAAAAACCUUGCUCAUCCGGCUGAUGUAAUUUUUAAAUGUCAUCUAUUUCUUCAGAUGUGGACACCGUUGGGGAAACAACACGAUGCUAAACACACGAGGGCCACAAUGGAGAAGAUCAGCAACAAUAUCUCGAGGCUCCUCCACUCUUGGUAGCUGGAUCUUGGCUCUGUUGGCGUCGGUUGCGUUUUGGGGAGGCAAGGAGUGAUGCUUCAGUUCGCCUAUAUUAAUCCAUGUCUUGUCACCUUAGUUUGGACCUUGUUAUGCAACGCUCGUAUUGGCCUUGGGGCCUGUUUGAACUAUAUGGUUGUGUAAGUUAAACUUAUGUGGAUGCUCCCUGAUGGCUUUACUAAUUUAAAGCUGGACAUGUCUAGCGUUUUUGUCCUAAAAAAAGAUGUUGGACCGUGGGUUCUUCGCGGGCUUGAGUCCUGUCUUGCGGAGUGAACCUUAACUCACUCACUCCCUUCUACACAACCCUAGAGAGCAUGUGCCUCCAUGUCGUUCGAUAUCCUGCCUAGAAGAACGGAAAUAAGGUUUUUAGGGAGUGUCUCGAUGUGGUUGCUCCCGAUCCGUCCCUGUCUCUGUCCUCCUCUGCUUCCACUACUUCCCCUACAUUGAUAGCAUGGCUGACGACGCCGCUGCCAAGAAGAAAUCCACAUACGACGCCAAGGCUGCUGUUGUCGCCGCCGCGUUGGCAUGGACAAUUGGAGUGUUUGAUCUGUUCAUCCCUACUAGUUCAUGUGCUAGCCAUAUAUGAUGCGUUGAUAGAUGUUUUGUGUCUAUGUAUACGUGCUCACAUGCUUAGGUAUCGAUAUGAGUUGCAUACUAUGAUUGUCAUGCUUACAGUUUACUCAUGGGUUAGAUUAAUCAAUAAGGUGCCAAUAUUUCCAGCAAUAGGCAGGCAUGGGUUUUUAUGUCUUCAGUUUAACUAACGAAAUGUGUGUAAUAUGACACAAAAUGUGUAUGUUUAGAAAUUUUGAUGAAAAAUCCAAUGAUAUAUUUUUUAGUGGCAUAUAACACAUGUCUCGCUGGACGCGGUUGUUCUGAUCCCGAGUUCAUGUGAGCUCUGGUGAACUGUGAAAUCAAAAAAAAUGGGAAAGAAAUUCAAAAACAAAUCUGAAUUUUUUUGUGCCAAACAUUGAAAAUGUUUUGAUUAAUUGCAAAGUUUAAUCAUUGGAUGGCAUUUGUGGAAAACGUGAAAAAAAUCGAUGCUCCAAAAUGUUAUUCUCAAAAGCAUUUCGGAGCAUCGAUUUUUUUGCCAUGUCUUCCACAAAUGUCAUUUCAUGAUGAAGCUUUGCAAGCAAUGAAAACAUUUGUCAAUGUUUGGCACACAAACAAUUCAGAUUUUUUUAAAUGUUUUCCCUUUUUUUUGUUUUUACUGUUCAUCCAAGCUCACGGGAUCGGAAUAGCACUUUCGAUGUUCGCCAGUCAUAUUGAUGACCUCCCUUGCAUGCCUUACAAAAAAUUAAUGUACUAAAGAGUACAGUAUGACACAUGAAAGAGGGUUUGCGGAUAACCUACAAUCUGUGUUGUGUUUCUAAUUAAACCCUUUAUUUCAAAACAGAAGGUGUUUUUCUACUUUGUUGUAAGCAAUAUUGUCUAAAAGACCAACCAUAAGCAAAAUUUACGAACUACAUAUAAAUUUAUGGUUUUGCAAUUGAGGAUUUCUGAGGUUACUGAUAGAGAAAUAACUAUAUAUUUAACUGAAUCACCGUUAAGCACCAUUUGACCUGAACAUGGUACUCAUACAAGUAUAGGCGGGACGAGAAAAUAUUGGGUAGAAGGCAAAAUAUAACUAACUUUAAGUUGACUGAGCUAUAAACAAACCAUCAUGUACUUUGAAACACAGAUAAUAUACUUCUUAUGAGGUCAUGAUUUCAAAAGCAAGAAAGCCCAACAAGAUCUAGCAUUAGGUUAAAACACAUCUUUGACAUUAGUGUAGCCACUAUACUUAAAAAUCACUAAACUAUGCCAAUUUAGAGGAAUGUUGUAAAAUGAUUCAAUUUUCACAGGUAUUUAACCACUGAAGUGCACAAGCGACAGCUAGAAGAAAAUUAUUACCUUUUAUGUGUGAGAUGCUCUCUAAGACGAGCAAUGAUAUCUUGUACCUCGUUAGUACGAGAUGACUCCUCCACCUUGAGAUCCAACUGUAGGCUACGGAGGAGGUUUGUCAUAUCAGGUCUUUGAGAAACCGAUACAAAUGCCUUACAAUUGAAUUGCUCUCCUAUCUCAUCAUACACUUGUUUGGCAAGUGUAGUUUUACCAAGACCUCCGAAUCCAACAAUAGCCACCACUUUGAGUUUUUCUUGGGUAUUUUGUAACCAACUUUUAAGUUCUUUCUUUGGGCCAUCAAUACCCACAAGGCCCGCUACCUCCUUGUAGAUCGCCGACAAACGAGGAUCAACAGCAAUGACAUGAGUAGUAGAGUUGAUGCUAUCGUCAAUCUUGUACCUUUGCACGGAGACAACAAAACUAGGUAUUUACCAAUUUCAUGUGAAUAGUAUUGGAAGUGAGGAGCUCCUAUAUUAAUGAAGAAAUGUCAAUAUUGUACCUCAUGCGUCGUUCAUUUGCCUGUAGAGCAAGAGCCUUGAGCUCUUCCAUCCGAUCAGCAAUACGAUGAUGCUUUCGCAACAUCUUGAGACGUUUAACCGUCUUCUUUAUAAAGCCCGACUUGGCAUCGGCACCUCCAAGGUCUCGCAUGAAGUCAUCGAUGCAAUUCUCCAUGUCAUAGGACAUCUCCCUCACAUGAUCCCUCCAGUUCUUGGCCAAGGGAUCCAGUUCAUCCAUGAGCUCAAGCUUCUCAAGGAGAGCUUUCAUGGCGCUAAGCUCGUCCUUGAGGAACGAGGCCUGCUUCCUGACUGACGUGAGCUUCUUGUACUCGUCGCCCAUCAGUGCGGCGAGCUUGCCGAUGAGGGGGUUCAUCGCCCCCAUGGUGGCGCUGACCACCGGUGCAGACAUCUCAAUACCUAGGCUCCUUCUGGUGUUGGCUCAGCAGCCCGCUCGCGUGCUGCAAGUGAGCGUGACGGCGAUUCAAAGGGAGGAGCUGCAGUGGUGCCGGAGAAGUCCAACUGGGUGAGCCGGAGCUCAAGAGGUGGAUGGCCGUGGCGUAUCCGCGGCCGGAGGUGGAAUAGGUGGUGGACUGGUGGUGCAGCGGGAUAUGGGGAUGCGGUUGUAGGCCAGCGGGAUAUGAGGAGCCCCGGCAAAUAGCAGCGUGGGGAGUAACGCGUUGGAAAAUUCAGCGUGGAAAAAACAGGUACACGGAGAUUGCAAGGCUGUGAAUCCAUUGUGCUGUUUCCUGGAAAGCAGCCAAGAAGACGAUUCCUGGAAGCUACUCAAGGAGGAGGUUGAUCUUAUAGGUUAGUAUCGCCACUGUCAUUUUCCGCGUUCAAUUCCCGGACAACGACAGCCGGAGACGACCCGAGCAAGGAGGUCGUCGCCGGCAAUUCCAGGAAGCUUCCCUCAAAGACUCGAACAAAGGGGAGUCGAUCUUACAGAUUAACAUCACCAUUGUCAUCUGGAAGGGCAACGACAGCCGGAGACAAACCGGUUGGGUGAGGUCGCCGUCGCGGACGACCAAUUCCUAGCUGCUCCCGUUCUCCAAUGCUUCAAUGCAAUGGUCCAUGCUCCCUGUUGCCAUAGGAUUGCAAGCAUUUGAGUGGUCUGAACAAAGCUUUUGUGCUACUGAUGCCGCACUUCGCAUUUUAGAAUGGUGCAUAUAUAGAUCAUUGUUAAGCUUUUUCGUAGAUAAAGUAGAGCCCCAAAACCACUACCUGUUUUUAUCUCUCUUCGGGAUCUAUUAUUAAGCUUUUCCCUAGAUAAAGUAGAGCCCCAAAACCACCACCUGUUUUUAUCUCUCUUCGGAAUGCUGACGUUAACAUAUUUCGAACCGGUUCUGAUUUCUGAAUUACACUCCCACAUAGUCAUAUUUAAAGGAUUAUGUUUUUUUCCUAAGGACAGGUCGUAGGCUUGCAUAUUUUGUAGUACCGAAUUGUUACUCAUUGGAAAGGAAACAGCUAGUGCACUCUUGACUAUAAUGGCGCAGAAGAUUAAUCAAAUAAGGCUGCCGGAGAUGAUUCCUCAAACAUCAAUGAUCAGGAAUGAACAUCAAUGUUAGAGUUCACAGCCAAGCGUUAUUCUGGAUGUACAAGACUCAACUAUUACAGGUUUUAACCAAGUGAUCACCUGCGUUCACAAGAUAAUAUAGAGAUAACAUAUAUACUACCUCCGCUCCGAAAUAUAUGACGUUUUAGUAGGCUAGUACAGGCAAAUAUACAAACGUCAUAUAUCUUAGAACGGAGGUAGUACAUUCAGAUCAUGCAGGAACUGUACUCAGGAAGUCAAGAUUCAGAUAUACAGCCAAAUAUACACUCUGACAUGAUAAAUUACAUGGUAUCAUGAGCCAGUAAAUACAAGGAAUAGUGAAUAAAACAAGUUAAACGGAGAACAGCUUAAGUUACAGAGAAGGCCAAUCAAGAUACUACUAGUAGAUUGUAACAGGAGGGUAUCUUGGGUGCACCUGUGCGGCGUUCCUGAAGGCAAACUCGACAUCACGGUCGUCAUGGACGGAUGACAUGUUAUCUACAUGGAUUUGCUCGAGGGAUAAGAGGUGCACCAUACCCACUGGUAUAGCACUGCCACCACUCCACCUAUCAUGUACUCCUAGAACGAGCCUUCGAAGCUUGGGCAUAGCCCCUGCCUCAAACCCCAUGCAUGCCGUUGCAUCAUCAUCACGAGACCUGAGAGCAAGACACUCCAGAACUGGGAAUGAUCCUGUACAGAUUAUGACAGCACUGUCUUGAGGAAUACACAAGACCUUGAGACUGAGAUACACGAGGGAUGGCAGCUGCCCAAGAACAUGAACACCGUCAGUCCGCAACCGCUCAACACACAGAGACAGUCUAUGGAGGCAAUGAAGAUCACCAAUCCAUUUUGGAACCUUGUAGAAUGGCCAUCCUCCCAGACGUAGAUUCUCCAUACGGAGGGGAGGAUCAGAUAUUGAGUCCAGCAGGUCGACAUAAUGUUGAAGAUUGCAGGCAAGGUAGAGAAAUUUGAGGUCACAGAGCUUUCCAAUGGAGGAGACCAAGGCAUCAACCCCUGCCUUCAGCAUAUCAAACUUGUAGGACUUAGUGAGUGUCAGUUCCCUCAGAUUAGUGAGCUCGCCGAGGCCCUCAAUAUCAUCCAAUGAGCUCUUGCCCAUGCAAUAACAACGUAGAGUACGUAGCGAUUUCAUGUUCCCAAUCCCAUUUGGGAGUCCUGUAUCACGCGGAAGAAUCAAAUGGGACAAGCGGUGCAACAUGACUAUAUCUGACGGGAUGUUUUGUGCUGUUCGGCAAUCUAUAUCAAUUGUCUCCAAAUGAACAAGCCCAUGGAUUUCAGUAGGAAGCUCUAUGCUGCCUGAUGCUGCUGAAACCUUCAAAUACCUAAGUUGAAACAACUGGCCAGCAGCAGUGAGGUCGACUACCAUCUCCCGGUAAUCUGGAAAUUCAAAGAGAAGCACACGUAGAUACUUAAACUCCGAGAGAGGAGGUGUGUACUUGGACUCGCCAAACCAUGCAAAUGAUCGAAUUUGUGUUAAGCUAGUAGCAAUGGUCCCCGAUGUUGCGCUACCAGCACUUAAUUUCAGAGAUAGUCGACGGACCCUGUAGUUGCAGGCAUCACGUUGUGCCAUGUCUUUGUAGUCAUAUGCCACACAGAUAAAAUUAUCUUCCCCACACUUGCUUAAGAUCAGAUCAAGCAUCAUAUCAUGAAUACUACAUGACAACACCUCCCCACAUAUGGUAUCUUCAGGCUGAAUCAUGCCCCUAUUGAUAAGCUCAUGGAAGUAACUCUUUGCAGCAUCCUCCAAAUUUGAUCCAUGUAAAUUACUGACAAGCCCUUCAGCCACCCAUUGUCGGACCAGAUCAACCUUGCUAAUCUUACGGUCCUCUGGAUACAUACCAAGGUACAAAAAACAUGCACGGAGAUAAAGAGGAAGAUGCAUGUAGCUCAGGUUUAAUAUACUCCUCAUCUCUUCCAAGGUGGGCUUUGUGGCAAACUUGGCGCUCAGUGAAUCCCUUAUGCUCUCCCACUCACUCCUUGAUCUUGCUUGACGACUAGCUAAUAAGCUAGCAAUAGUGAUGAUUGCAAGCGGCAGUCCACCACACUUCUUCAAAAUUUCAGCUGAAACUUCUUUAAAUUGUGGUGGACAGCCAUCUUCAGACCCAAAUACUCUAUUAUAGAAUAAACUUCUUGAGUCUUGCUCUUGGAGGGGAUUCAUUUGGUAAAUGCACUCACGGUCAUGGAGACACGCACGGAAAGCCACAUCACCCAGUCGUGUGGUUACGAUUACUCUACUUCCAUUACCAUCUUCAGGAAAGGCACAACUAAUAAUAUUCCAUGCCGACUGAUCCCACAAGUCAUCGACUACAAUAAGGUACCUGUUGAAAUUUUGUACAAUUCUGGUUAUAAGUUGCCUCUGGAAAAGUUUAUGUUUAUAAAAAAACUUCGCUAUUAACUACUCCCUCCGUUCCAAAUUACUCAUCGCAGAAAUGGAUGUAUCUAAAACUAAAAUACAUCUAGAUACAUCCAUACCUGCGACAAGUAAUUCGGAACGGAGGGAGUAUUUAUGAGCUGAACUUUUCAUGGCCAAUAAGUAACACAAGAUUUGGCACUGUCCUAAAAGAAAUCUCCGCGUCAUUAAAACAACUAUUUAAAUUUAUGCCAAAUGUUUUCAACUUCAGAAACUAGCUAGCCCAUAAAAGUGCAGCAAUGACAACUAGAAUAAAAAAGUACCUCUUAUGCAUGAGAUGUUCUCUAACACGGUCGAUUAUGUCUUGCACCUCAUGAAUGUGAGAAGACUCCUCCAUUCCGAGCUUUAGUUGCAGGCCACAUAGAAGGCUUGUCAUAUCAGGCCUUUGGGAAACUGAAACAAAUGCCUUACGCUCAAAUUGCCCACCAAUCUUAUUGUACACUUGCUUGGCAAGUGUAGUUUUACCAAGGCCGCCGAACCCUACAACGGACACUACCUUGAGUUUUUUCUCAGCAUCAAUCAACCAACUGACAAGCUCUUCUCUGGGGCCAUCAAUACCCACAAGGCCUGCAGCCUCCUUGUAGAUUGCAGAUAUUCGGGGAUCGACAGGCACAACAGUGGAGCUAUAAUCAACACAAUCGUCAAUCUUGUACCUCAUGCGUCGUUCAUUUGCCUCCAGAGCAAGAGCCUUGAGCUCCUCCAUCUGCUCAGCAAUGCGAUGACGCUCCCUCAACGUCUUGAGACGUUGAGCUGUUUUCUUGAUGAGGCCGGCCUUAGCAUCGGCACCUCCGAAUUGGCGCAUGAAAUCAUCGAUACAAUUCUCCAUGUCGUAGGACAUCUCUCUGACAUGAUCUCUCCAGUUCUUGGCCAGCGGAUCGAGUACCUCCAUGAGCUCCAGCUUCUCGAGGGCAGCUCUCAUGGCGCCGAGCUCACGCAUGAGGAACGACGCCUGCUUCCUCACCCCCUUGAGCUUCCUGUACUGGUCCCCCAUCAGCGUGGCGAGCUUGCUGAGGAGCGGGUUCAUUACCCCCAUCGUCGCGCUCACGGUUGACGCUGACGUCAUCUCGAGCCGAGCCUCCUGUCCGUGUUGGCUGGCCCAACAGCUACGUGUACUGCAACUGCAAGUGAGCGGGGCGGCAAUUCGAAGCGAGGGGUGUAGAAUACGGCGAUUUGCCGGAGCAGCCGGCGGCGAAGUCGAGCGGCCAGUCGAGGCGGAGCUCAGGAGGUCGAGGCUGGAGACGGUGGCUGGUCGUGAUGCCAGGAGGCCGGGCGCCGUGGUUGGGAACCGGGAGGUGGAUGGCCGCACCGGAUCGAUCUGCGGCCGGAGGUGGGCUACGGGGAGGUGCGGCGGCGGUUGCCGUCGGUGAUGGCGGGGUGAGAGUAGUACCGGAGCAGCAGCGGGUUGCGAUUUGGGGGAGAAGGAUAAAGUCAGAGACGCGUCUGGAUAUGCAGAGUGGGAAAAAUGACAGGUUGUGAUUUGUGGACUGAAGGAACGAAAUGCUCCGUGAUUAAGGGCAUCUCCAGCCGUUCGGCCCCCGAGGGCGCCUAAAUAGAGCGAUUUGGGGGUGUGCCGACGCUAGUUCGGUUCUUGGGGACGACCUAGCUCCCAGUCACGCCCCCAAGUGCUGGCCUCAGAAUGCGGGAAAUUUAAAACUUGAUCGUUCCCGCUCUUAAAAGACGCCACAAAUCCGGCGAUCGGACGUAGUCUGGCGUUAUAAAAAACAGAGCGUCGUAUGCCGCAAGUUCGCGUGCAUGAUUCACUCGGCGGGGUCGGCUCCAGGCGUUGGCGGAGUCGGCGUGCGCGGGCUCGGCGGUGUCGGAGCUGCUUCGGUGCUGGGCUGUGUCGGCGCGGCUUCAGCACUGCUGGGCGGCGACGUAGAGGCGUCGUUCAGGCUUGGCGUCCGUGUGGUCGUGGGCGCGGGAGCUUGCGUCGUCGGCGUUGCCGUCCGCAUCUGGUUCAGGAUGAGGCCGCGCUCCGCCAUGUACCACGCCCUGAGCUCCUCGUCGUCGCUCUGGAGCAUGUCCGCCCCACCCAUCAGAAAAGAUAUGUCGGUGUUCCUCUUCUUCGCAGCGACGUUCGUCCGGAGCAGGUCGAGCUUGAUGGCGAUGUUCUUCAUCAGCGACGACCACCGCGCCUCGGUCUUCUCUUCACGUAGGACGGCCCGGGCCUGGGCGUCGGCGAGGCAAUGCUCGAUGGACUCCUGCACUCGCGCGGUUGCCGCGUCGGCGUUUUUCCCCUUCUUUGCCCAUUUGUGGCCGUCCGGCCGCCCCUCACUCGCGUCCGGAGUCGUCGCGUCCGACUUGUAUGUCUCCUUGGCCUUGUCGAGGGCACGUCGGACUUCCACCCACUUCUCGCACUUGUCAAUGCGCUUGUAGACAUGGAGGUGCUUGAAGUCGGCGUCUUGGUUGUCGCCCCGAUACAUGGCGAACAUACGCAGCAGCUGCGCGGAGGAACAAACAGUUGGCGGGCGGCGGGCGUAGACGACGAAGAUAUGCGGGCGAACGGCGUGCGUACCUGAUCCUCAACGCUGGCGCCGCUCUCCGGGCGAGCCGCGACCUCCUCGGCGAUUUCAUGCCAUUUGUUGCACGCCAACUGGAUACGCCCCCAAUGGUUCGCCAUCGCCUUGGAGCCGCGCUGCAUGUAGACGCCUUUGAAGUACGGGUCAACGAGCUUCCGCUCGUCGAACUCGGCCUUGAUGCGGUCCCAGUACGUCUCCAAGCUCUGGUUCGUGUCGGUGGUCGGGUCGAGGCAGACGACUUUCCAUGCUUCGGCGAGGCAUUCCUCCUCCUUGAACGUCCACUUGAUGCGCGGUUCGCCUGACCUAGCCGCCCGCUUCUUCUUCUUCUAGCGCCCCUUCAUCGGAACAGGAGCCGGCUCCUCCUCCUCCUCCUCGUCCUCCUCCUCCUCCUCGGGUUCCUGCGCUUCAUGCGCGUCCUCGCCGUAGACGUAGCCGAGCUCAACCUCCAUGUCGCCGUUGAGAUCCACUACCUCGUCCUGGGUGGCGAACCCGGGAGACACGGCGGCCGCGGUCGAUCCUGUCGCGAUGAUGUCGUCCAUGUCAGCUCCUGUGUCGUCGGCGUCGCCGAGGUGCGAGAAGGGCAGCGGUCCACGUCGGAGAUGGGGCGUCGGUGUGGACGCGUAGGCGGCGGGCGGCGAGUAGUUGUAUGGAGGGUACUGCACGCCGACGAAGGCGGGCGAGGGUGUGCGCGUCGCGGGGUGGCCAUGGGGGAAGGUCACGUUUGGGUUGAACCCCCCGUGCGCGUCGCCGUCGGCGUAGCCGGGCGACGAUGAUCCCCAUGAAGAGCCAACGCCUUGCUGUCCCCAGGGCGCGUACUGGGCGUGGCUGACGGCGGGUGGAUUCAUCAUCCCCGCGUGGUCGACCGAUGAGGAAGACACCGCCGCACGCGCCGCGUUGUCGCGGGCCUUCUUGGCAAUGGCCCUGUUCCGCCGGUCGGUGGUGACUGCGUCGCGUCGCUGAACUUCCACCCUCCACUCGGCGCUCGACAUGCCCGGUGGCUUCGAUGGCGGCGCCCUCGGCUUCCUCUGCUUCGGCUGGGUCACGGUGCCAGUCGUGGUUGCCGCCACGCGCGGCAUGACGUACUUCUUCGGCGGCAUGGCGGCGACUGGAAGGCGAGCUGGAGGGGGUUUGGCGGGAGAAAUGAAGAGAAUGGCGGGAGGAAGGCGAGCGAGCGGGAGAGAUGCGAGGGAAAAGCGUCAAGAAACGACGGGAAAAGGUCCUCGGGUCGCUGCCAGGGCGGGCCCACGCGCCUUUUUCGCUUGCGCCGGCUCCCCAAGCGCCCCCCAGGGCGCCGGGUUCGGCCUGGGUCCGCCGGCACCAGUGUUUGCCCGAGUCGGCGAAAAACGGGUUUCUGGGGACGCGACUGGGCCGUUUUUUUGGCGCCGGCGCGAUAAAAUCACCUGGGGAGGGCCUGUUGGAGGCGCGGCUGGAGAUGCCCUAACAUCAUCCUAACUUCAAGACAUUAACAUUCACAACCUUCACUUGUUUUUGUAGUUAGAUUAUAUUAGAAGGAUAAAAAUCUAUUAUUUGAAUGAUUUGGACAAAGUCGAUGUGCUCCUAAUGUCAUGCUUCAGAGUUCAGAAUGGUGCAUCGAUCUUAUCUAAGCUUUAUCUUAGUAAAGCAGUCAAAACCAACUCUCCUACUCUCUUCAGAGUGUUGAUAUAGCAACAUAAGCUUCCCUCAUAAAAUUUGAAUGAUUUGAACAAAGUGGUUGUACUCCCGGUGUAUACUUUGGGUUCUAGCAUGAUGCAUCUAUCAUAACCGUUUCUGUAAAUAAACCAGUUAAACCCACAUGUUUAUCUCUCUUCAGAGUGUUGUUAUUAAAACAUUUGGAAUUGGUUAUGAAUUCAUAAUUACACCUGGAUAGCAAGUUAGCCAUAUUUCACAUGUUAUCUGUAACCUGAUGGGGCUAAAUUUCGUGUUUUGACCUUUUUUUGAAACCUAUUCGAGAUUUGACCCUAGUUUAAAAAAAAAAUCAAGAUCUGACUCUUUUGCUACCGCCAGGGACCAGGGCGGUAGGGUAGAACAGCCUACCGCCAAGGUCCCUGACGGUAGGGUUGUAUGCACUACCGUCAAAAACCUCCUAAGUAUUGAACACAGUGCGUGCUCGUGCCUACCGCCAAGCACCUUGGCGGCAGGGUUGUGCAGGCUGCCGCCAGCCCAGUUGGCGGUAGUGAUGUUUUCUACCGCCAAAGUCCCUGACGGUAGGCUGUUAGACCCUACCGCCAUGGACUCUGGCGGUAGCAAAAGGGUCAGAUCUCGAUUUUUUUUCAAACUAUGGUCAAAUCUCAAAUAGCUUUCAGAAAAAGGUCAAAACACGAAAAUUUGCCACCUGAUGGUUACAUAUAACUUGUGAGCUACAGUGCUUCACAUAGACAUAGCGCAGAGGAUAACCAAAUCAAGGAGGAUGCAGAUGAUUCAUCAAUUUUCUCUGCCAGCCGCAUUCAUCAGCUUUGUUUAGUUGCAAAUAUAAACACAUCUCUUUGUUUAGUUGCAAGCAUUAACAACUCUACCAAUGUCCAGCGCUUGCAUAUACUCUAGUUCUAUUUUUUAAAGGAACAGUUAAAGUGGACAACCAAAUGGGCAUCUGCAUACAGAACAAGCGGAGGCACCUGCCUUUGUGUCUAUGACAUGUGGGCCCAACAGGUGGCUGGCCCACAUGUCAGUGAUCCAAAGGCAGGUGCCUUUAAGGCAUCAAAGCUGCGUCCAGAACAAGCUGUAGUACAUGUCUAUUCAGAUCAUCCAGAAAGAAUAUGUAGGUGGUCAAGAUUCCGACAUGACCAAAUAUCUCAAAACUCUGCGUGGUAAAUUAAGUACAAUGUAUGUUGCGUAACUAACUGACAAACAGAAUCCCUGUAUGGUAAAUAGAUGGAACAAUAUUGAAUAAAAAGUUAAAAAAACAAGGCAUUAUUUAUAGAGAAUGCCGAUCAAGUGAACAUACUAAUGGAAGGGCUUUUCGGGUGCACCUCCGCAGCAGUCCGGAAGGCAGUCUCGACAUCACGUCGCUUGUGGAUGGAGGAUCUCACACCUAUACGGAUGUGCUCGAGUGCCAGCAAGUGUUCCAUGCCUAGUGGUGUAGCACCACCCCACCUGUCACAUAUUUCUAGGCCGAGUAGCCGUAAGGUUGGGCAUCACCCUUGCCUCGAACUCCAUGCAUAUUGUAGCAUCAUCACCAUCUUCAGAGAAGAAUCUAAGGUCCUCUAGUAUUGGGAAUAAUCCUGUGCAGGCAAUGGCAGCACCACUAUCUUCAGUGAUAUGUGUCACCCAGAGACAUAGUUCGACGAGGGAGGGCAACUUUCCAACGAUAUUAACCUCUUCAGUCGACAAAUGCUCAACCGACAAUGACAGGCUACCAAGGCAAUGGAGGUCACCAAUCCAAUUAGGAAUUCUCUUCAACAACCACCCUCGUAGAUAAAUUUUCUCGAUAUGGAGAGGAGGGUUGGACAAUGAGUAUAUCAGGUCACAGUAAUGCUUAGAAGGCUCCCCAUGGACAAUAAGUAAUCUGAGGUCACAAAGCUUUCCAAUUGAGGAUACCAAAGCAUGAACUACCUCCACCGUCAUUUUGCCGAGGAACACCAAGACCCUCAGAUUGGUCAGCUUGCCAAGGCCAUCAAUAUCCUCUAGCGAGCUCUUACCAAUAUCAAAGCAGUUUAGAUCACGUAAUGAUUUAAUGCUUUUGAUCCCUUGAGGCAACCCUAUACCCUUUGGAAGUGUUAGUUGAGACAAUCGUGGCAAGAAAACUAUAUCUGACGGGAAGUUUUGCGCAGAUCGGCUAGCUAUUUGCAGUGUCUCCAAAUGAACAAGCUCUUGAAUUUCGGUAGGGAGAUGUACGAUGCAUUGGAACGCAACAACUUUCAAAUACCUUAGUUGAAACAAUUGACCAAUAGGUGUGAGUUGUACCCCUUUUGUAUGAGAAUUCAUACACCAGAACCCGAAGGUACUUAAAUAGCGACAGUGGAGGUGCGUACUUGGACUCCCCAAACUGUGAAAAUGAGCGAACAUGUGACAUGCUAGUAUGAAUGACCCUUGGUGAUACAUCAUUAGAUCUUGGAUUCAAGGACAAUCUACGAACCUUGUGCUCAAAGGCAUGCAUUCUUGUAACAUCUUCCCAAUUAUAUGCCACACUGAUAAAAUUUUCUUCUGCACACUUGUUGAUGAUCAAAUCAAGCAUCAUAUCAUGCACUUUGCAAGACACCACUGCCUCAUCGCCCAUGCUCUUUUCAGGUUGAAUCAUGCUUCUAUUGAUAAGCUCAUUAAAAUAACUCUUCGCAACACCCACCAUAUUUGAUCCAUGAGUAUUACUUACAAAGCCUUCAGCUACCCAUUGUAGAACCAGAUCACGCAUCAGAAUCUCGUGGUCUUCUGGAUACAUGCCAAGGUAUAGCAGACAUGGACAGAGAUGUAGAGGAAGAUGCAUGCAGCUAAGGUUUAAUAUACUCCUCAUCUCUUUCAAUGCCGGAGUUGCGGCAAACUUGGCACUGAGAGAAUUUCUUAUGCUCUCCCACUCAUCCCUUGAUCUUGCUUGGUGACUAGCUAAUAGGCUGGCUAUAGUGAUGAUUGCAAUUGGCAAUCCUCCACACUUUAAGUUGGGGUGGCCAGUCAUAUUCAGACCCAAAUACUCUCUUAAAGAACAACUUUCUUGAGUCUUGUUCUUUGAGGGGUCUCAUUAUGUAAACACAUUCACGGUCACCGUGGCAUGCCCAAAUAGCCACAUCAUCGACUCGUGUGGUUACUAUUACUCUGCUUGCAUUAGCAACUUCUGGAAAGAUACAACUUAUAAUAUUCCAUGCUGAUUGAUCCCACAAGUCAUCAAUGACAACUAGGUACCUGUUAAUUAUUUGUUCAUGUUAGAUAUGUCAAAUUAUGAUAUGUUUACAUGAUUGCAGAAGCAAUGAAAGCACACAAACCUGAUAAAGCACAUAUACCAAUAAUAAAGUAAAAAAAGGUGCAAGCAAAAAGAUGAUAUUCCUUACAUUAAUUAGCAUGUUUGCAUAACAUUCAAUCCUAAACCAAAGAAAAAACUAACGUCCACACGUGUGUCAUUUUGCACAUCGCCCACACGCCUUCAUUACCACUCAUUUUGUCACGUCAAAAUAGAUGACGUCAGCAGGAAUCUUUUUGGUUUCAGCUUAGAAACGUUUAUCUCCUAAUUAAAAAAUUCAAUUAAAAAUACGUUUUCACCAUUAAAUUCGUCUCGACGAGAUCUUCAAAACUAGACCCCAUGUUGAUAUGCUUAGACGAAUUUUUUUUUGCCCAAAAGUUGCCAUGAUGUUUAGAUUGUAGUUGCCAUAGUGCUUAAACUAAAGUUUCCAUGUGGCAAUUUUAGUUUGUAGAGCAUAGCAAUUCUAGUAUUUUGAUAAUGACAAUUCCAGUAUUUUGACCAUGAAAAUUAUUUUUUGUAUGAAUCAUGGCAAUUUUAAGUGCAUGUAUCAUGGCAAUUUUAGUUGAUGGUUCAUGGCAAGUCUAGUUUCUUAAUUCUCCGUUUUAUAAUAUGUCAAAAUUUACUUUGAAAUGUAGAAGAAACUAGCUGAAACAUAUCAUGGCAACUUCAGUGUAACACCAUGGCAAUUCAUGUGUAAUAGACAUGACAACUUUUAACCAAAAAAAAUUCAUUGAAAUAUAUUGAUAUGAGAUCUAGUUUCGAUGAUCUCAUCGCGAGGGAUUUAAUGAUGAAAACGGAUCUUCAAUCGGAUUUUUCAUUUAAGAGAUAAAACAUUUUAAAAAUUAAAAUCCAAAAAGAUUCUCACAUUCAUGCAUGCGGUGACGUGACACAGUCUGUGUGUUAUAGGGCGUGUGUGCAGAUUUGGCUCCCACCACACGUGUGGGCGUUAGCGUUGUCCAAACCAAAUCAAUUCAUGUACAAUCUGUUAUAACUCUCUAAAGAAAUUUAACUUAUCUUUCAAUGCUCAAAAACAAAAAGACCACAACCUUCUAUUAUAUAACAUAGAAGAUAGUGACAUGAGCCCGUACAUUUAUGUACCUAUGUAAGUAAUACACUUUUUUGGAUCCAACUACUAUUUGCCAUCAAUCUAUCUAUAACCUGAAUCAAUUUAAGUUUGUGCCUAUGCUAAUUCAGCUUUAGUUACAUAAUCAAUGGAAAAUUAAGAUAAUUAAUCUUCCAAAAUUUAUCUCUUUCAUAUACGUUCAUCUAGAAUUUGCCUAUCUUUUCAUUUUGGUCAUUUUUACUAGGCUCGUGCGACAAACACACAAUUCUAUAUUUUAUUGGCAUUUAUUUUAUUUGAUGACUUUGCUAUUUAGAAUUUGCUAUUUACUCUUUACUUAUUUCAAAUUCCAUAACAAUAACUUUCUUGCAAAAAAAGUCCCAUCUUUGAUGUUGCGAAACUCGAGCCGGAGUCAUGGCAACACGGAGGGUACCGUUUGGAGGCGAGACGGGAUUUGAGACGUUUGAAGUGUCAGCAUACACGUGCAUGUGUGUGCGGCUCUAGCUACUAUCUGUUACACUGUUUAGUUAAUAGUCAUCAGUGGACUAUAGUUAAUAGUUAAUUUAUGCAUCUUAAAAAACAUGCUAGAUUAGUUACUAAGCUUAUAUUAGGUGACUGUUUGACUUCAAGACUAGAGUCACCAUGCACAUGCAAUUGUCCAGUUUUUUAUUACCUAAUUGAUCUUUGAUCUGAUAAUAACACUAACAUCUAGUCAAUGAGUGAGAGCAUAUAUUAGGACUGUGAAGACACGAACACACUGAUCAUGUAAAUAUUGUAAUAUAUACAAAACGCUGAAUUAUUGAAAGAUAGGUGAUAAGUGGUUUAUGGUUAAGCUACAAUUUGUGUUGUGUUUUGAAUUAGGCCUUUGUUCCGAAACAAAUGAUGCUUGUUACUCUGACCUAAGCAAUAGCUUAUAAGAAGUUAUAGUUUGAAAAGACUAUUUUAUAACGAAUGCUAUCAUUUGCACUUGAUCAACCAUAACCAUUUCUUACGAACUAGAUAUAAAUAUAUGGCUUUGCAAUUUUUGAUGUGGUUGAUCGCUAAAUGACUAUUUCUGCUAUGCACCAUCUGAUCUAAGAACGAAAUUUGUGUAAGUAUAGAUGGGAUGUGAAGAUCUUAAUCACACAACUAGCAAUAUCAAUUAAGAAAGUCGACUGACCUAUAGAUAAAGCAUCAUGAAUUUUGGAAAUAAGAUAACUUCAUCCUUUCAAUGGCCAAGCACAAAAUACCAACAAGGUAUGGCGUCCGGCUAAAUCAUAUCUCUUGCAUUAGUAAAGAUACUUAAAAGUCACUACUCCUUGCCAAAAAAAUGGAUUUGUGUAAUACCACAAUUACCACAAGUAAUUAACCACCCAAGUGCAAAAGUGACAAUUAGAUCAAAAGAAGUACCUAUUAUGUGUGAGAUGUUCUCUAAGACAACCAACGAUAUCUUGGACCUCACGAGCAUGAGAUGACUCUUCCUUCAUCCCAAGCUUCAAUUGUAGACCACUAAAGAGGCUUGCCAUAUCAGGUCUUUGGGAAAUGGAUAUGAAUGCCUUGCAACUGAAUUGUCCUCCGAUCUCAUUGUAUACUUGUUUGGCAAGUGUAGUUUUACCAAGACCCCCAAAUCAACAAUAGCCACCACCUUGAGGUUUUUCUGGGUGCCUGUCAAGCAACUUACAAGCUCUUUCUUUGGGCCAUCAAUACCGACAAGGCCUGCUGCCUCCUUGUAGAUCGCUGACAUCCGAGGAUUGACCAGAACGAUGCGAGAAGUAGAAUAGACACAAUCAUCAAUCUUGUACCUUUGUAUCAGAACAACAAAAAUAAUUAUGUAUUGAUUUCAUAUGAAUGAUCUUGAGGGCUAGGAGUUCCUAUAUUGAAAGUAAAAUAGUCUUGUACCGCAUGCGACGUUCAUUUGCCUCUAGAGCAAGAACCUUGAGCUCCUCCAUUCCAUGAGCAAUUUGAUGACGCUUCCGCAACAUCUUGAGACAUUUAGCGGUCUUCUUGAUAAAUCCCUUUUUGGCAUCAGUGCCUUCAAGGUCGCGCAUGAAGUCAUCUAUGCAAUUCUCCAUGUCAUAGGACAUCUCCCUGACAUGAUCUCUCCAGUUUUUGGCCAAGGGGUCGAGCUCGUCCAUGAGCUCAAGCUUCUCAAGCAGGGCUUUUAUGGUGCUUAGCUCAUCCUUGAGGAACGAGGCUUGUCUCCUCACCCCUGUGAGCUUAGUGUACUCGUCGCCCAUCAGUGUCGCGAGCUUGCUGAUGAGGGGGUUCAUCACCCCUAUAGUGGCGCUAACAAUUGGUGGAGGCAUCUCAAUCCGAGUUCACGCAAUUGAGGUACGUGACGGAGAUCCGAAGCGAGGCGGUGCCUCUUAUCGAUGAAGCAGGCGACAACUUUGUCCAUUUCCUCUUGUUAGAGAAGACAGUGGCACGGCGGCAAAGUCCAAUAUGCGAGGCGGAACUCGAGAGGGAGACUGCGGCUGCACGUAGUUGUAUAACAUAUUAUGGGCAUAAAUCAAAAGCUCAUCCUGGAGAUUCUUCUCCCACUAAAGUACACAAUGCGUGUGUGAUAUCAUCGUUCGCUUCAGCUAGUUGACGGACGAUCACUGUCAUUGUGUUUUGAACAGUUAGUUUUAAGUAAUGUGGCUGGACUUGCACUUCUAUAUUUGCUUAAUAAUUUGGCUAGACUUGUACUCGGCUAUGUGUUGUAUUAGCUGGGCGGCAAGCCACUGUAUAUAGGAGGCAGCCUUUUCUGCCACUUGCUUAUCUUUGAUAUUUCUGUUUUGAAACUUUUUUUCUUUGAAAAGGGGGACUCCCCGGUCUCUGCAUCAAAACGAUGCAUACGGCCAACGAGAUUUUAAAGUCUGAAGCAAAAGUAAAGGCAAGCUCACAAAGAGCCAAAGGGCCAAAAACAGAAAAGCCAAAAGGCCACAACCGGCUGGCAUAAGAAAGAUAGGAAAACUAAUUGCCUAUCCUAUUACAUGACCGCCAUCCAAACCGUUUGAAGAUAUCCCGUGCUACCAUCUCCCACCGGACAGACCUAGUAACCAAACGCUCCCUGACCUUCGUCGGAGUGAGUAGCGACCACAUACGAUCAACGCAGUGGCGUGGAAGAUAACCUGCAAAAAAUGAAUAUUUGUUGUUCUGUUAAAAAUCAAAUCAUUUCUGCAGUUUCAAAUUGCCCAUAAUAAAACACAUACUCCUACGCGAAUGUGUCUAGCUGUUUCGGACUCUAUCCCAUUAAGGCCUCCUUUGGUUCAUAGGAUAGGAAUGCUAUAGGAAUAAGAAGAUCAUAGGAAGUGAGAUGACAUGUAUCUCAAUUCCUAUAGAGAAAGAGAUGUCAUUUGAUGCAUAGGAUAGGAAUUUUUCCAUUGAGUCUUUGCUAAUAUAUUUUUUCCUCCAAAAUAUGAAUGAUUGAUCCCUAUCCUACAUAUGAAUAGGAAUUCAUUCCUACAAACCAAAGGGCUUCAAAGAAAAAUUUCCUAUACAAAUCCUAUCCUAUAGAAAUUCUAUGAAAUUCCUACAAACCAAAGAAGGCCUAAGUCACGUUCCAAAUAACGUGCUGACAGAAUUCAGGGGAGUAAUGUUAAAGGCUAUGUGCACCGUCCGCCACAAAACCUUGGCCAACGGGCACUCAAGAAAAAGGUGUUUGAUAGUUUCACCCCGAUCACAAAAACUACACCUAGUAGAUCCUGUCCAGUUGCGCUUUGCCAAGUUAUCCUUAGUUAAUAUUACUUGUUUAUGUACAAAUCACAUAAAUACUUUAAUUUUUAAAGGAACUUUAACUUUUCAAACAUAUUCGGAAGUAGGACCGACGCUAGAGUUGAUAACGUCGAGAUACAUCGAUUUAACCGUGAAUUCUAUUUUGAAACUUGCACCUGAAUAUUAUUUAAAUACGCCGUAUCUGAAUAGUACUAGUUUUCAGCAUUUUCCCUUGACCAGUCGCUGAGGAAAACAGAGCUGAACAACCAAUUUAACUUCGUAAGCGCCCUCUGUUUGUGCCCUUUAGAUAGCAACUACUGUCGAUGAUAAAUAGACCCUCACUUUUUUAUUCUACAAUGCACACAAACAAGCGUGCGUAUGAUAUUAUUGAAGAAGAAGAGGGCAAGACACCAACCACGCUACCUCAGAGGCAGCUAGUCCACCAAACAGGACUCAGAGUCACAAUACCUUUGUGAGCAAAGUUGUGGUUCUGAAUGUCAUACUCCAUAGUUCAGAAUGGUGCAUCAAUCAUAGCAAAAUGGUUUAUAAAGCUGAGACAAGAUGGCCUGUUAUGUUUUAUCUCUCUUCAAGAUGAUAUAUUAUACUCCCUCAGAUCCAUAUUAAUUGUCGCUGCUUUACUACAACUUUAUACCGUUUCUGAAUUCAGAGUUACACGAGACAUCAAGUUAGCCAUAUUCCGCAGGUUGUAGAUUUGAAUAGUCUGUGACUUGAUAUAUGCAUAGGAAGAUAUUAGUUACGUUGCUUCCCCUAAAAAAAAGUUCAGUGCUUCACAUAAGAUGAUUAUAAUCAAGCAUCGAUGUUCAGUUGUACACAUCAGCCUUAGUUGCAAAUAUGAACACAUGUCUUUGUUUAGUUCCCAACAUAAAAAAUCAGAGUAUUACCUACAAAUUUCAUAUAUACACGUAAUCUAAAAUAACAAAAUAAUGUGGAGGUAGACACACGAUAGGUGUUUGUGUACAAAUCCAAUAAAAUUGAGAAGAAAAAACUAUUCCUUGUCAAUUUUUCUAGAAUAUGCAUUCCUUGCCAAAUUGAUCAGGGGCACUGUGCAAAUUAUUGAAGAAAAAGGAGCAACGACACAGUGUCUAAAAACUCGUAUAAUAUGGCAAUACACGAUGAGGUCUGGUACAUAAGAACAAUAUCCAGUAAUAAAUUAAAUAACAAAAUAAACGGUGGUAAAAUGGCGAAGGGAGAGUCUGCUCUUUGUUGCUAUAGUUCCCCCGAUCCAUGUUCAGCUGUGUGCCAGUCCAUGUGACGAAUACCUUAUGUUUUCUUUUUUCCCGGUGCUUGCCUUCGAGCAAGUCGAACUUGCCUUUUACCUCCAGUGUUCCCCUGUUUAGCCAGUAGGCUGAUGUAGGCACUUCCAGCCUAUGUCAGCGAGCUUUUCAUGUAUCCAGACAUUGGUUUCAUUUUCAAUAAAAAUGGAGCCCUUUUCAUCUUUAAAAAGAAAAAUAGCGAAGGGAUGAUGCAAAUUAGAGUGGCUGAUCGAAAGAGACAAAUUGCUAUCUGCGGUGCUCGUCACUGUCAGUUUUCAUAUUUGGGAUUCAGGCUGCUAGUCAUCACUUCCAGUGGAACAUUCCACUUGUUGUGCAAUCUGACUCUGCAACAGCUCUCUGCUGGUCGUUCUCAGCUACAGUGAGUAUGUAAACACUAUUAUCCCUGAGUAUACAAUGCCUUUCUCACGCACAAUAGGGAGUAAAGCCGGACCCAUCGACGGUAAAGGUCGGAUGGCCUGGGUGCAGCUCUAUACAGUUUUUGAACGCAGAGUUCGCAUCACGGAGCACUCGUUGAGGAAACCGAUCAGAGUCACUUCCCAUAUGUACGGCGACAUGCUCGAGACUUAACAGGUGCUCCAAGCCAACUGUCGCGGCACCACCCCAGUACCUCUCGUUGAAAUGUAGCCUGAGCCUUCGGAGUUUGGGCAUAGCCCCUGCCUCAAAGGCAAGGCAUGCGGUCAGAUCACUACCAGCGAAGCAUGCAAAGUCCUCCAGAACUGGGAAUAAUCCCAUGGAGAUGCUCGCAACAUUCCUUUUUCUCCCUUCUCUUGGAGCGAAGCUCGACACAGACAAAGAGAGGUGAACGAGAGAGGCCAUCUUACCAAGAGCAAGAAACUCAUCGAUGGUCAUCUCUUCAACAUCCAGCUCCAGGCGGUAGAGACAUUGGAGACUGCAAAUCCAUUUGGGAGCUCUGGACAUCUUCCAAUCAUCCAGUUUAAAUACCUUGAUAUGGCGAGGAGGAUCUGAUAAUGAGGCCAGCCGUUUUUUUGUAUCUAUGACCUGACCAUGGAUGCAGAGAUAUCUGAGGUCAUGGAGCAUUCCAAUGGAGGACACCAAGGCAUCAACCCCUGCUGUGUUCAAAUCACCCAUGGCACACUUUGAGAGCCUUAGGCACCUCAGAUUGGUCAGCUCACCGAGUCCCUUGAUAUCCUCCAAGGAGCUCCAUCCCAGUUCAAACCCAUCUAGAGUGCGCAGUGAUUUCAUGUUCCUGAUCCCUUUAGGCAGAUCUGUCUUCUUUGGAACUACCAAGUGGGUCAAGCGACGCAAGUGAACUAUAUCUAUGGGAGUUGUAUCCAUUUGAUAUGUAAUUCUAGUGUCUCCAAAUGCACAAGCCCUUGCAUUUCAGUAGGGAGUUUCACGUAUUGGUCAGCUGAAACCUUUAAAUACCUCAAUUGGAGCAAUUGGCUAAUAGCUCUCAGAUCGAUUUCCUUGUGGCAUAGUUCCCCCAAAACUUCAAAGUGAAUGACUCUGAUAUACUUACAAUGCAAAAGAGGAGGUAUGUACUUGGAUUCCCCAAACCGUGCAAGUGAUCGAACUUGUGAUAGGCUAGAGGCAAUGGUCUCUGAUGCUGUCCCAUCUGCUGCGCUGCCACCGGUUAAAUUCAGGGAUAUACGGCGGGUCUUGUACUUCCAGGCAUGCUCUCUUGCCAUGUCUUCAGAACUGCAUUCAACUCUGAUAAAGUUGUGCUCUGCACACUUGCUUAAGAUUAAAUCAAGCAUCAUAUCAUGUAGACAUGUACUCUGCAUGAUAACAACUCUCCAUGAUCAGUACGUUCAGGCUGAAUCAAGCUUCUGUUGAUAAGUUCAUUGAAAUAGCUCUUCGCAGCAACCUCCAUAUCUUGCCCAUACAAAUUAUUGAUGAAGCCUUCUGCAACCCAUUGACGAACCAAAUCAUCCCUCUCUAUCUCACGGUCUUCUGGAUACAUACCAACGUGCAGAAAACAUGCCCGGAGAUGAAGAGGAAGAUGCAUAUAACUAAGGUUUAAUAUACUCUUUAUCCCUUCCGUUGUGGGAUUUAUUGCAAACUGGGUGCCCAGAGAAUUCCUUAUGGCCUCCCACUCGUCCAUUUCAGGACGACUGGCUAAUAGGCUAGAUAUAGUAAUGAUUGCAAGUGGGAGUCCACCACACUUCUUCAGAAUUUCAGCUGAAAUAUCUUCAAAUCGGGAUGGACAGUCAUCUUCAGAUCCAUAUAUUCUAUUAUAAAAUAACCUUUUUGAGUCUUGUUCGUCGAGGAAGUUCAUUCUGUAAAUGGACCCUGGGUGACUGCAGCAUGCCCCAGAAGCCACAUCUUCCACUCGAGUGGUUACUAUUACUCUACUCCCUUUAUCAUUUUCUGGAAAGGCACGGCUAAUAGCAUUCCAUACUGAUUGAUCCCACAGGUCAUCAACUACAAUAAGGUACCUGUCAAUUGUAUGCAGACAUUACACUAUGAUUGGAUAUGAAUAUAAGUUGCAGGGGAAAGUACCAAAACAUUCUAUUGAACUUGAAUGAAAUUAAAACCAAUUGGAUUCAAGCGAAUCUGCUAUCGAGGGUUAGAUUAGCAGGCUCACAUAUUUCUCAAAACUAAAUGGCACCAUCAGAUAAUCUCAAUAAGACAAUAACAUCCAAGUUAAUUUCGCUCACUAAAUUCUCAGGCACAAAAUAUAUGCUAUUGUAUUUCUAUCUUCUAAGCAAAAGGACUAAUUAACUUCACAUUAAUUGUAAAAUGUACGAUCCUUGCAAUUAAAGAAAAUUGCAUCAGCCGUUCACAAGAGAAAAUCAGGGAAUUAAGCAAGCAAGAAAGAAAGCAUGCAUGGAUCAUAAUGGAUGGUCUUCCUGUAGACCUGUACCAGUCGAUUGCACGGACAAGCAUCUAAGCAUAUUACAAUAGAUAUAUGCUGUUGUAUUUCUAUGUCUUUCGUUUUGAUAAUAACUGAAUCCUUAUUCCUAAGGCUAAAUUAGUACUUACUUCCUCCAUUCCUAAAUAUAAGUCUUUCUAGAGAUUCCAAUAUGGACUACAUACGGAGCAAAAUGAGUGAAUCUACACUCUAAACUAUGUCUAUAUACAUCCAUAUGUAGUCCAUAUUGAAAUCUCUAAAAAGACCUAUAUUUAGGAACAGAGGGAGUAGUUCACAAUACAUGAUUAUUGACUUCAACGGCCAAGCUACAAAACUGUCCCCUGUUUCACUGUACAAAACACAGCUGGGUACGUAAGAUGCAAAUAUGCAUGCCAAAAAAAGAAAGAUGCAAUGCAAGUAUGCAAUAAGCUUAUUUGGAAGUCUUGGGCUCCAAAGAAGUGUAAGUUUUUCCUCUGGCUGGCAGCGGACAAUAGAUGCUGGACAGCGACAGAUUGGCACAAAGGGAUUGCCCCACCCGAGUCAAAGCCCCAUGUGUGAUCAAGAGCUAGAAACGAUCCAACACAUUUUGACGAACUUUGUCUUCUCUAGACAAGUUUGGUGUGUGCUCGUCGCUCUGGUCUACCGGACUUCUCGCCACACACCGACGAUAAUGUGUUGUGUGAUUAGUGAUUGAGAAUCAAUUCUUUGCCUUCUGGUAUCUUCAAACAGGGGCUCAACUCGCUGAUCACUUUGGGGGCCUGGAUGUUGUGGAAGCAUCGGAAUGAUUGUGUGCUUAAUGGAGCCACAUCGAGUGUCAACCUAAUGGUUAGUAGGAUUUCGGAGGAAGGACACCUCUACUGCUUGGCCAGAACUAGGGACAUGGCGCAACUUUUGGCUUCUACCACCUAAUGGUCAUUCAUUUUUUUUGGUUACUUUGGUCGUUGUUUUUUGUAACAGGCGCGGGUUUUUUCUUUUCUAGUUUUGGGUAGAGUGGCAUGUGUCGGGAUUUCCUUGUAACCUUUUUUUCUCCUUAAUGCAAUGAUACACAGUUCUAAUGCAUAUUCGAGAAAAAAAACUUGCAGUUUAUAUAGAGCAACAUUAUAACCGCAUUCAUGUUGAUUGGCAUCAUGUAAGUGUUAAACACUUGAUAACGUGACAGAGGAGAUUGGCCGAGGUAAUUAGCGCGGCCAGGUUGUUAGCUAGGAGUGUUAGCUCCUAUCUCUUGUAACCAUACUCUUAUCCCUUCUCCUCCAAGAUGUAAUCUCUCCUACAGAAUCUCAACAAUGUAUGCCCUAUCAGGGAUGUGCGCCCCUGCCUAUAAACAUGUAGGUCAUCCCCUCACAACGAGGUAAGACGUUUUCCGCAUCCGCACAGUAAGAGCUUGUGCAUCAGAAAAAUGUUAUGGAACAACCAACAAUAUGCACAUAUGCGCCAUACAGAAAAGAAAUAUGCAAUUUAAUUUUUGAGCAGUGCAGCUACAACCUCUUGUCGGUUUUGUACAAUAUGUCUGCUCAUAGUAUUGUGCAAGUCAUUUUUUUUGGCAUCAGCACACCUUCUAAGUAAUUACACAUACACACACCAAAAAUCCACAUUGACAAAGUCUCAAUGUGUUGUGGAACUAAGAUGCAUUGACAAAAGUCUGAUGUUAAUACUACAAAUUUGGUGUUAUAGCCAAAAAAAUGCAAGAUUUGUCAUGGGCCCAAACAAUAGAACAAAUACCUCACACGGAGGCAUCUAAAAACUUCUUAAUAUGUGUCUACAGACUGCCACAUCGUGCUGUAAAGACAUUUUCUUUCCUUUGGAAAAUGUUGAAAGUGUGGUCAUACUAUUGGAUACAUUCGGGGUAAAGAAAAUGGAAUGAGCAAUGUUUAGUCCCUUUUUGUAACAUUUUGUAAACUGCCACAAAAAAUCAUGUAGAGACAUUUCUUAAGUCACUUCACUAAUUGACUUAAACCACAUUUUCAUCAAGAAAGCUCAAAGAUUAGCGAAUGGCCAAUUUAUAACAACAAAAUUAAAAGGACAACGACCAACCUCAUUGAAUGACCAACGACGAAUCCUAGCUAACCUAGACCUAGCACAGCAUGGGAACAAAGGACCCGAGGCCGGAUGUGCCACUAUGGCCACUACCCACUAGUGCUCGCCAGCAGCCACACUAAUGCUGGAGAGAGCUCACGACCAAACCAAUGAAAGAGCAAGACAGGGGAAAGGACCCGUGUAGGCAGAUCUUUGGCCAGUCCAGAACCAAAGCAAGUCGGCAGACUCCGCCAAACACCAAUCACAGCGACAGGGGACUCGCCUUCCACAGCUCCAACCAAGAAUGGUGAAGAGGAGGAGCACAUGCCUUCAAGGACCGCUUCACGACCACUGCCCCACACCCCAAAACACAAUCAUGCAACCAAUACCACCCCGGCAACCCACACCAAAGGCCUAAGAAGUGAGGUUCGUUAUGUAGGCAGAUCAGUGAAGGCCAGCCCGGCCAAGCAGGGUAAUGGUCGUCAUCACUCAUCAUUACGCAUAACAAUUACAGUAUGGGUAUAGAAGCAACUUUCUAUUAAAUGCUAUGUUAGUUAGAUGGGAAAGUUGUGAUAUUGUGUUUGAUGAUUAGUUCUAUACUGAUUUUAGAAUGUAUGUUCAAUUCUGCAGGAGUACAUAGACAGUAUAAUACCUUCAUACAAUGUCUUAUAGAAUGUAUCGUCUCUUGGCCAUACAUAAAAAACCAAUAAAUAUGCCUCUACUUUGCAAUACAAUCCAUGUUCAAAGAAGCGAUGAAAUGGGCAAGGUUGCAAGGCUUUCUGGAAGGUGGGGAAGUUGUGGGUUGAACAAGUAGUAGUCCUUCUCUCAUAUUACUUUUUUCGAUUUCUACUAUAAAAUAUAUGAGUAUAGGUUCUCUUUAAAAAAUAAUGAGUACAGGGAUUGUGGGCUUGUGCGGUUCGACUAACUCUCUAAUCACUAGUCCCCAGCCGACUAAAAAAAAGGGCAGCCCGGUGCAUGUAGCUCCCGCUUGCGCAGGGUCCGGCGAAGGGUCCGACCACUUUGGGUCUAUUGCACGCAGCCUUUCCCUACAUUUCUGUAAGAGGCUGUUUCCAGAGUCCCGAGCCGACUGACUACCAAAAAUCAGAACUUUGAAAUUUAAAUACAUACAAUGCUUCUACCUAAUCAGAACAGUUUUUUGUGAUUAUCCUAGAUCAUGCAUCCUACAAGCUUAUAAAUGAGCACUGAUUUUUUUUUAAAUGAGCAUUGAUUAAAUCACACAAUUGUUCAAAUUCAACAUAACAUGCCAAUGCAAGUGCAUGGGUGGUUAUUGAAGUAAAUUAAUACCUGUUAUUUGUGAGAUGUUUUCUGAGGUCCUCAAUGAGGUCUUGCAACUCACAAGCACUAGAAGAACCAUGCAUCCCAAGUUUUAAUUGUAGACGGUUGAGAAUCCAUGUCAUAUUAGGUUUUUGAGAUAUGGGAAGAAACGCCAUACAGUUGAACCGCCCUUUGAUUUCAUCAUACACCUGUUUUGCAAGUGUAGUUUUACCCAGACCACCGAAUCCAACAAUGGACACCACCUUGAGCUUCUUCUCGGUAUCAGUUAACAAAUUGACAAGCUCUUUCCUUGGGCCAUCAGUACCUACAAGACCAGCUGCAUCCACAUAUAUCGCCGACAUGCGAGGAUCGAUAGCCACAAAACUAGAACUAGAAUUGCACUCAUCGAUCUUGUACCUGAAAGAGGAUGUCCAGGAAGAAAGUCACACUUAAGUCCUUUAGAGACAGUAGUAGGCAAGCAAAAUUCUUCUUUUUUUUUCCUUUUUUCUAAAAGAUUGUGAAACUCCCGUCCUCUGUGCCUUCUAUUAUUGCAAAGUUUUAAGAUCCAACAUCUCACACAUGAGUAACAAAUGCCACCAAGGCUAAAACCGAAAAGAAACAAUUUUUCUUUCGAUAAUGAACAACCACAGAUCAGAUACAACAUAUAGCACAGAUAUGCCUUUGUAAUUCUAGGUGUGUUAUAUACUCUACAAAAUAUACAAUGUACAGUAUCUGCAUAUUUUUCUUGAGAAAAGGGGGAGAAUGUGCACCUGAUGCGCCGUUCAUUUGCCUCUAGUGCAAGAACCUUGAGUUCCUCCAUCCGGUCAGCAAUCCGAUGACGCUGUCCCAACGUCUUGAGAUGUCGAACGGUCUCUUUGAUGAAGCCUGCCUUGGCAGGAGCACCUCCAAAUUGGCGGAUGAAGUCAUCAAUGCAGUUAUCCAUGUCGUAGGACAUCUCUCUGACGCGGUCUCUCCAGUCUUUGGCCACCGGGUCGAGCUCAUCCAUAAGCUCCAUCUUCUCAAGGGCAGCGUUCAUGGCGCUCAGUUCCUUCUCGAGGAAGGACGCCUGCUUCCUCACCCCUUUGAGCUUACUGUACUCGUCGCCCGCCAGGGUGGCGAGCUUGCCGAGGAGGGGCUUCAUUACCCCCAUCGUCGCGCUCACCGGCAUCCCGACCAAAUCCUCCUUCCGCUGUUGGCUCGACAGCUACGGUCCCCUGCUGCAGGUCAGCUUGACGGAGAUUUGAGGAGAGCCGGCAGCGUGGCGGCGAAGUCGAACAGCCGAGGCGGAGCUCCAGAGGUGGAGACGGGAGCUGCUCGUGAUGCCUUGAGAUCAGUCGGCUAGGUCGGGUGCCGGGAUGUGGAUGGCCGUGCCGGAUCUACGGCGGGAGGUGGAUGGCCGUGCCGGAUCUGCGGCGGGAGGUGGAUGGCCGUGCCGGAUAUGGGCCGGCAAGGGAGGAGGCGGUCGUCGCGAGUCAAGGCGGAGGAGGGCAAGAAGUAGCAGUGGUGAGAUCUGGGGCUGACGAACUCCUACACUCGCGUGCUGCAGGUAAGCGAGACGGUGCAGUGGUGUCGGUCGGAGCAGCCGAUGGCGCGGCGGCGAAGUCCAGUGGGCGAUGCUGAGCUCGGGAGGUGGCUGCUUGUAAUGCCGGGAGGCGAGGCGGGGUGGGCAGGUCCCCGGAGGUGGCUGUGCUGGAUCUGCGAACGGAGGUGGAUUGGCUGCGGCGUAUCCGCGGCCGGUGGUGGACUACGCGAUGGCGCGCGGGCAAGCAGUAGCAGACUAGCAGUGCAGUAGGAGUAGUGAUUUGAGGGUGACGAGCCGACGACCGGAGGGAGUCACGUCAAGUCAACAGCGCGUGCAAAUGGAUACCGAAAUGACUGACAUGCCCCCCGUCCCAUGAUUACCCUCCGUUCCUAAAUACUCCUACCUACUACUAGUACCUUCUUUCCGAUUUAUAAGAUUCAAUUUAAAAAUCUCACCAAUCAAGAUAGAUGAUGAGUGGUGAAAUAAUUUUCGUGAUUUGUAAAAACACUCAAUUAAUGCGCUCUUUUCCCCAAAGAAUUGUGUUUACCAAUACAUUAAUUGCAAGGCAUGCAUACAUGAAGUAAAUGCAUUUGUCAAGUUUCUCAUAAUCCUUGCAUGCAAUGAAUUAAUGCAUCUUAAAAUCUGAGCAUGGGAUGAGGAACAAUCAUAUUGAGAUUUAUAAAAUGGGAAACCGAAAUUUUUAAGAUAAGCCCUAUAAACCGGGAAAGAGAAAGUAUAAGUCUUUUUAGACAUUUCAAAUGGACUACAAUAUAUAGAUAUAUGUAGACAUAUUUUAGAGUAUAGAUUCACUUAUUUUGCUCUCUAUGUAGACAUUUGUUGGAAUCUCUAAAAAGAUUUAUAUUUGAGAACGGAUGGAGUAAUAUCCUAAUUUACAAACUAAACGUGCAUGGCUAACCUGCGGUUACCCGUCAGUUCUUUCAGAACGAGGAUGCAAGGCUCGGAUAUGUUUAGGGCUCCUUGAUUCUUUUUGGAGGAUCAGAAUCCUUAAGAAUAUUUCUUAAGUUGAUUGUUUGAUUCAUGGAAUUAAAUUCUACAGGACUAUUUUCUAAGGAAUUAUUUGUACUUUCUAUUGUGGAAAAUCUAGCGCACUCCUACCUCUUUUUAUAAUUCAUUUGUUUUUCUAAGCCAUCAAAAACAUUAUUUUAUUUGUGAAAAACACAUUGUUAAUUCUAUAUAAUUUAAGUGGGCAUGCCCUUUAAUCUUUUUUUCUUAAUGUACAAGAAAAACCUCAAGUUCGCCUCAAGAAAUAUAAACACUAGUAGACUGCCCGUGCGUUGCCACGGGCAUUUGAAAAUUUGUAUUUGUUGCAUGUAUAAAAUUUUACAUACAUAGAAAGAUCGGCAAUAACAAAUAAAAAAGUAAUUGGAAUCUAAUUCGCUUGCAAUGUACUUUGAUAAAAAAAAUGUAAUUCGACCCUAUACACCUGAUGCACAAAAUAAAGAAGGUGGUACACAAACAUUGAACUCUUUAUUCUGCAAUGCAUUACAAAUGAUAAUAACACUUGAAUGCCUUUUUUUAGUUCUUAAAAUGGAUUGCAUCAUGAAAGCAUGUGCAUUGUUAUUAUCCAUUAAUUAAAAUCAACACAUGACGAAACGCUGCUGCUCCGUUUUGCAUGAAAAUUGUCAAGCAUGCUUGCGACACUAACACAAACAUCUAUGAAAAAUUUCAGAUUUUUUUUAGCCAAAACGCCUCCCCGCAUAGUAGACCGUGUUAGGUAGAAUCAUGAGCGAGUGAAUCUCUGUUGUAAAUUUCAUUAUAGACCAUGCAUACAUAUUAUUUGCCCGUACAAUUAGGGCGGAUCAUGUGAUAGUUUUCACUAUUAAAAUUGCCGAGUAGAGUUUCUUGGGAACUCGGUAAAGCCAAAUAAACUCAGCCAUGCGUUUGCCGAGUUCCAUACUCGGUAGAUGGACUGUUGGCCAAAUAAGCCGCAAUCAUGGGUCGGACGCGUCGGGCGCAUGUGUGGGUGCGCGCUCGGCCUGUCGGGUCCGCGGUGUAGGUCCACGUGUGUGCGUGCGUGUGGUGCCCGGGGUGCCCAUGUGUGUGCCUAGGCCAUGAUGUUGGCGACCUGGGCGGGGUGACCGCGCAGGUCUGUUGCGGGCUUAAUAUGGCGAGCGCGAGCGGGAGUGCGUCGUGGGCGCGCGGAGCGGGCCGGACCUAGCGGGGUCGUGGCCGAGCACUGGCCCGGGUAUAAGAUCGCCACGGUGAUCGUUGUAACAUGUGUGGGACGAGUUUGUUGCUUGGGAAAAAUACCGUUCUUGCGGUUGCGUUCGUGCUCCUGAAACUCUCGCCGUGUCCACCGUGUUCUUCUUCCCCCCCCCCCUUCUUCUCGGUUCAUGCUAGAGCGGGAGAGUGAGGUGCACAGAUAAAGAGAGUGGUGAGCUAGGGCAAGGCUAGGGUUCCAACAAUUGGCAUCAGAGCCCGGUUUCGAAGGUGAACGCCGGCGGCCAUGGCACUCGUACCGCACGAUGGCGGUGGUGGCUCGUUCUCACUGCCGGUCCCACUACUGACCACGACGAACUACACCUCCUAGGCGAUCAAGGCGGAAGCUUUUCUUGGUGCCUAGGAGCUGUGGGGGUGGUCGUUCCGACGGAGGGCACGACGAUCGACGCCGACAAGAGCAAGACGGCGCGGGCAAUGCUUCUCGGGGUGCUGUUGGCGGAAGUGCUGCUGCCGGUGUCGACGAAGCCCACCGCGAAGGAGGUAUGGGACUCCCUCAAGGUGCACUUCGUCAUCGCUGAUCGGGUGCGGGCGGCCCGGCUCGCGUCGCUCCACGGCGAGUUCGAGCGGCUGCGGAUGGCGGAUGACGAUGACUUGGACAGCCUACGCGGGAAGCUUGGCACCAUGACGACACGCUAUGCAUGUCUGGGGCCCGUGCUCGACUACGCUGCGCUCGUGAAGAAGAUGUUGGACACGUUCCCGGACCGCCUCUACCCCGCCUUCGCUAGAAUUGAACAAUUUUGCAAUGUAGAAGAGAUGGCGUACGAGGAGGCUUUGGGGCGGCUCAAAGCAUUCGACGAACGGACCCGGCGUCGCAGGCAGGACGGGGGUAGGCGCGACGAUGAGGAGCUCAUGCUGACUGUGGCGCAGUGGGCAGCUCGGCAGUGUCGGCAUGGCGGAGGCGGCCUCGACCACAACGAUGAUGGCGCGGGCAGUACGACACAUUGGGCGGCGGAGGCUAGCGGUGCGGACGUUGCUACAGCUACAGCGAGCGCGACCAUUUCAAGUGCGAGUGCCCCAAGCUGCGAAAGGCGCCGGCGGCGGAGCACGCGCUCCUGGUGGAGAUCGGCGACGACCUCGAGCCUGGAAUCCUUCGAGUUGCAGCUUAGGGGGUGAGUGUUGGCCAAAUAAGCCGCGGCCACGGGUUAGACGCGUUGGGCGUGUGUGUGGGUGCGUGUUGGGCGCGUCGGGUCUGCGACGUAGGUGUUUGUGUGUGUGCAUGUGCGUGUGGUGCACGGGGGUGCCCGUGUGGGUGGACACCGUACGUGUGUGUGUGUAGGCCAUGCUGUUGGCGAUCUGGGCGAGGUGAUCGUGCAGGUCUAUUGCGGGCUCAGCAUGGCGAGCGCGAGCGGGAGCGCGUCGUGGGCACGCGGAGCAGGCCAGACCAGGUGGAGUAGUGGGUAAAUUAAUGUGCGGGUCAUGGCCUAGUGUUGGCCCGGGUAUAAGAUCGACACGGUGAUUGUUGUAACAUGUGUGGGCGAGUUUGUUGCUUGGGUAAAAUACCGUUCGUGCGGUGGCGUUCGUGCGCCAGAAACUCUCGCCGUGUCCAUCGUGUUCUUCUUCUUCCUCCUUCUUCUAGGUUAUUGCCAGAGCGGGAGAGUGAGGUGCACACACACAGAGAGAGAGGUGAGCUAGGGCAAGGCUAGGGUUCCAACAUGGACUAACUAAAUUUCUACUUCUUAACUGGCAACAAUUUAAGGAUGUAUAGUUAGCUUCAGAUUCAGAUUAUAAACAAAAUAAUGUUGAAAGAAACAUCAAAUCACCAUAAUUUUGGAAGGUAGCCUUUUACACGGAAAUAUCACAUAUAUUUGUUGAAAUGAAUGAUCAUUAAACUCCAUAAGAUUUAUGUCCUAAGAAUAUCUAAGACAUGAAUCUAAAGAGCAACAGUAAUUGAAGAACAACAAGCACCUGAACAUCCUCAAUGGUGAGACUUCAGUUGAGGUUGGGAUGUGCAGCCGGGAACUUCCAGAAGUCAAACAUCCAAAACUGAUCCGUAGAAGGACAUGCAUAAGCAAAUAAGAGUAACUAAAAAUAUAAGGCAAACAUAUAUCCCCAAGCCAUCUGCACAUGAUCCCGCCCGCAGUUCUUCCACUGUCCCUAAUCUAAUUCCCAACUCCAAUAAUCAGAUGAAUAUGAAUAAUACCAUGAGCAAAGAUUGAUUUAAUGAAAAUGAAGCACAAGCGCAAACAUUGAUCUAUUAUCAAAAAAUAAUAUGUACUCCCUCUGUAAAGAAAUAUAAGAGCGUUUAGAUCACUGUGAUCUAAACGCUCUUAUAUUUCUUUACAGAGGGAAUUACGAAUGGGUUAGGUUCACCCAUAGGAUAGUCAACCAUCAACUACCAACUAUGUCACCAAAGUUGUGUGUGCAUCAACCAUUAACUAUGAAAAUGAAUGAUUGAUCCUAAAUUCCACGCCGCAUGAGCUCUGACAUGCUUGUGUAGUUGGUUCAUACAUGCCUCUAUAUGAUUUUUCCAUGCAUUAUCACAUAACUUAUGUCACUUUGACACUCCCAAAAAAGAAGAAAUAUUCAAAAAAAAAAAGGAAGAGGUGGGCACCCGUUCGUGUGCGUCGUGCCAUUAGAGGCAACAAUUCUUCUUCUCUUCCUCCAUUAGUGGCAAUAUAUAUAGUAGGUGGCUCAGAUCCGAUUUACGUGCUUCUAUUUGUUCCCCCCUUUUCGAAAAGCACACUCGCUUUGGUCAGUCAAAGUGUCAAACAAAACAUAUAUAUCUUUAGGAGAAAAAACAAAAGAUAGAUCACAUCAAAUAAAUAGGCAACCAUAUUUAAGUUUCCAAAAUAUGCAAGUUUUGAAAGAAUUGGCAGUAAAAAAGCCUCUCCCGCUGCUCUAUUCUAUGACAGCAAGGAAAGAGCAAGCAAGUGAAUAUGCAUACACACAUGCAUGAUGCAUCCAUUUCCUUGCCUUACAUACGCAUUGCCAUUGUUGCCCGCCCAUGCAGUGGAGGGCGUAGAACAACGGCAAGGAAAUCAAUCCAACCGCUCUGCUCACCACACAAGACCACAUAAACCUCGAUGAUUGGAACUCGGUGUGUGACAGAUGCGACGAGAUGCUCCUGCUUAGUUUCAAUCAUCUAAUCCAUAUAUCUUUGGAUGUGUGACAAAAGGGCGCGGGAGGCAUGGAAGGAGGCUGACGAUGGUGGUAUCAAUGACGUGGAGAAAGAGUUAGGUAGGGUUUCGCCGCGGCGGGCGGGGUAGAAUAGCGAGGCAGCGGUGGAUGUUGGUACUGGGAGGAGUCCAGCUGGCGUUGUGGUGGCGACAACGUCGCAAGAGAGAGGAGAGGAGGGAGACGUCAGCGAGCGAGGAGGUUGAAGGUGUUGGCGCCGCCUCUCCAUCGCAGCGCCGCUUCUUCUUCUACCUCGAGCUGCCUCGCACAACUCUCUCUCUCUCUCUCUAUCUAUCUCUUCGUUUCUCUCAGACAAGAAGACACACACGCAGGGUGAAACUCUACACACACACACACACACGCCAAGGAAGAAACCAGCACCAGUUUUGCCGAGAGCUCUCUCCCUUGGUGACACAAAUGCUACAUCUUUGCCCAGCCCUCACAGCCUCUGUUCCAUUACUGAAUCAGAUGACUAUUUAUACAAAGUUUGGCACUCAGCCAAGACCCACACACUCACGCCAUACGCCACUANNNNNNNNNNNNNNNNNNNNNNNNNNNNNNNNNNNNNNNNNNNNNNNNNNNNNNNNNNNNNNNNNNNNNNNNNNNNNNNNNNNNNNNNNNNNNNNNNNNNNNNNNNNNNNNNNNNNNNNNNNNNNNNNNNNNNNNNNNNNNNNNNNNNNNNNNNNNNNNNNNNNNNNNNNNNNNNNNNNNNNNNNNNNNNNNNNNNNNNNNNNNNNNNNNNNNNNNNNNNNNNNNNNNNNNNNNNNNNNNNNNNNNNNNNNNNNNNNNNNNNNNNNNNNNNNNNNNNNNNNNNNNNNNNNNNNNNNNNNNNNNNNNNNNNNNNNNNNNNNNNNNNNNNNNNNNNNNNNNNNNNNNNNNNNNNNNNNNNNNNNNNNNNNNNNNNNNNNNNNNGUCGGAGGCCUCAAGUCGUGGGCGUCGGUGAUGGUGGACUGCCAGGAGUCGCGAACUUGGACCGGGAGAAAUCCUUGGCUGGUUCUCUGGCCACGGCGGCGGCGACACCGGCCGGUGCCGUUCCCCUCCACGGAGGCGUCGUCGAGGUUCGGUUCCUCUCCCUUCCGCCUCUUUCCUGGGAGAAAUCCCUUGUCUUGCUUAGACCGGACGGCAACGGCGCGGCGUGCGUCGCCUCCUUCUUGAAGGUGCUGUCUUGGGCAAGGUGGGAGCGUGCAGUGGGGCAUCAUGGUGGCUGCGUCUUCGGCGAGGGAGAUGGAACAUGGUGCUUUGUUUCUGAAUUAGUGCAGCUCGACAUUCCUUGAUUUGUUCAGUUGCAGGUCAGCUUCUGCUUGUCUGGCGUCAUUGCCUUGGGCAGGGAGGGGAUAGGGGUCCUCACUAGCAACUGCUCGACGCAAUGACACGAACAUGGCUGAUUUCUCCGGGCCUGAGCUAAUUCCAAUUGUGGUGCUCCAUCUCUUUUCGUUGUUUGUUUGUUCAGUGACAACUCCUUUGUGCAUUUUUCCCUCUUCGUGCUUGUAUCAGUGAGCCUCGGUGUGGAUAUCCUUGGUUUCCUUCGUGCAGCGACAGGUCGGGCUGAGUAUCUCCUUUGGUGGCCGGAACCGUGUCCGUUCUUUGCUCUAGGGUGAGCAAUUCCAUCUUCCGGCGGUCCGCGCCUUUCGGGCCAAGGCGAGGGGCAGGGGUCCCCUCCGGAUUUGGAGAACAGCGACAUGUUUUCGGUGUCCACCUUCCUGGGUUGAUGAGGGCGCGGUCCUUUGUCGUUGGGCACUGGCGCUGUUUGAUGUUCCUCUCUGUUCGCUCUUCUGGGUCAAGUUCACUUGGAGGACUCCGUCGACUACAAGCUAGAGCUUAUUUAGGAUUUUUGUGUAGGGCUUGUAGUCUUUGGUGCUUGUAAGCUGCUGGGCAACACUCUGUAUCGGCUGUAGCUUUUCCUUUCCGUUCCGUGUUGGUUGUAUUGAUGGCCUUGUGUAAUCCCUGGCCGGUUGAUGGCUUCGUUAAUUCAAAGCUGGGCUUCUCUGGAGCCUUCGUUCCAAAAAAAAAUUAUAUCUUCAACAAUAUAUAUUGCAAGCUUAGCUUUGGAGGCCCAAAGGUGACAAAGAGAUUUAUUUACGGCUUUUCAUCGAUGGAUGCAGGAGAAAGAAGACUUUGACAUCCUAAUAAUUUGGUUGAAAUUUUCUUUUUCUGUAAAGGCGUGUCGGUAAGUACCUACGACAUUUAAUAUAUGCUCAUAGGCCCUUUUGCCAAAAAAAAGCUUAGCUUCGGAUGUUGCAAAUUCACUAUCAUGAAAAUUUGUUGGCAUGAGGCCAUUGCUUCCGAGAGCCGACAUUGACCGUAAUUCCAUGUACGUGCCUGCACGAGAGCAAUUUUGUUUUAGAGUCCCGGAUUCGCAUGAUUAUUCAAUUAUGUUGACUUUAUGUGCAUUAUUGGAUGAAAUGUUGUUUUAGGUCAAAAGCGUCACCGGAAAAAUAUAUGUUGCUAACUACUUACUUGACUUGAUGUCUCAGGAUAACAUAUAUGCCUCUGGCAAACAUCGAACUAGCCCCUCCACUUAUCUUUUCACAGGACCUUGUCAAGAGGACAGGGUGCUCCUGCGAUGUCAUAAAAAAAAAUAUAGUUCUCCAAUUUAUACAAAAAAUUAAGCCGAAAAAACACAAACCAACUUGAAUGAUUAAGGGACAAUCAAGCAAAAGCCAAAACUUUGAAAAAGAAGAAGAAGAAAACAGUACAGCCGAUAGUGACCAAUCUUGACCUCCACCUCCUACUGUCCUACAUGCCCACUACACAAAAAGAAGUGAGCGAGAUCUUCUGAGAUGCCUCCAAGAAGGAAACAUGACGCCUGUGGGUGCCGUCGUCGCCAGCAUCAACCCCCGUCAAUUGCUAAGCUUUCACCCAAAAACUGCCCACGACCCCACGUCGAUAGGUAAAGUUUUCACCCAGAAACAACUCACGACCCCCUCCCCCUAACCUUAAUUGGGGUAGGGUGCGGCCACACAAGCAACCACCACAACAACCAACGAACCAACCAAUCAUGGUUUGGUAGAGAGGAGGAACCCUACAAUGACAACUCCACAAGGAAGGCGCUAUUGCGCUGUUGUCACCGGAAUCCAUCGAUCCCCAUCGAAAACAUGGGUUUCUCCCAGAGCCCUACUCCCCUCCAGUUAACCAAGCCUCGGAGAGGAGGCACAACCACUAGCAGCUGAGAGCAAGCCGCAACCUCCACCGCACAAAAAUGGUAAACCAUGGUUGUCGAGUCUGAGAACCCCCCGACCAACCCGCACCAACACUAGGAAGACAAGACCAUGCCGGCGCACAACAACACACCACAUGGGGUCGAAGCCCGACAACCACAUAACCAAUAAGAAGCCAUCCAAUGACCUACCACAAGCUCACCACGCACUAACCACCGCUAGACGAGGAACGAGGGUGGUUGACCAGUACCCGCAACACCACCACAACAAUUGUUCCACCACGUGCAGCAAAGGCCUCGACCACGCCACCACCACUUGCAUUGGUAGCAGACCAACACAAUCUAGAGAAUAGUCGUCAUCGCAUUGCUGGAUGGCUCCUGGCACCUCCUCGAGAGGAGAGAUGACACAAAACAGCAACAAAGCCACCACAUCAUUGGGAGCUUCCCGCGAUCACCAAAGCAUCGGGACGCCACCCGCACACACUAGUCGCCGACCCACAACGCGCCAGAUCCACCAUGUUAUAUCAUCACUCAGCCUGACCCCUAGCGUCACUACAUUACUACAGAAGUCACUAGUGGCAGGAAAAAAUUCUCCAACACACCUGACACUAGUAUGUGCAAUACCAGUGGUGGGCAGCAAUGGUAUCCGUCACUGAUAUGUAUUAGAUCAAUGGUGGGACAGGAAAUGUUACCCCCACUGGCAUGUAUUAGACCAGUGGCGGCAACCAUUUCGUGCUUACCAUUGGUAAUCUUCUCUAGAUCCAAAAAAUAUGUUGCCGUGGCAGCGAAAAUUGCUGUUGUAGCAACUUUUUUGAUUGUGUGGUGGUACUUUCGGACAAUUUUAGUCUCAUCUCAAUACAGGGCAUCACAUAUUUAAUAAGUAGCUGAGAAUAGGCAAGCUAAUAACAUUAAACAAGUGACUAACAAUACAUAGUCGAGAAAGUGUGGAACUAAACAAUAAUAGACAAGCGUUCAAUCAUACGAAAGUACAUGUAUCAAGGUCGAUUGUCUUAUCUGUUGCACUAUUCUAUAUCGGGGCUAGUGGUGGUGAUUGAUUUUUACAAGGUUAGCAUAGCAUCCUUAAUUGCCUUCAAGUGCGCCUCACGUUCAUCCGACUCAUCUUUGCUGACUUUGGCAUGGAAGAACCUGGUUGACGAGCGGACCUCCUUGUUGAUGACAUACACAAAAGAAUUCUGGAUGCAUUCAAACUCUUUUCCCGAGUUGAACGGCGUACAUUGUAGGUAUCUACUUCAUUUGAUGACGUCAUUGGGACGCUUGAACGUUGUGCUCAAACGUAUGUACUCUUCGAUGAGGAGACAGACAUAGAAGGCACACUUCACGCUACCAUUCGGUUGCUGUCUGCAAAUGAAUUGAGUGUGCGCGAGAAGAGUUCCUGACCAUUUCAAUGGUGCUUCCUCACGAUGUGCCCUUCGGUAUUACUCCAUUUCGAAGUAACAUUCAUUCGGAAGAGCAUGAAGUAAGAAUUGGACAUCGUCGGUUGUAUCUCUAUAUGAAUCCAGUGGCUUCUGUGCGAAUGGAUAAACAUACCACGAAUAUGAACAAGUUUAAAACUUUGAUACAUAAAAGCUUCAAGAACUUUACAGAAUAUGACAAAGUUUAGAACAUACCCCAAUAUUAUUUUUGCAAUAUGUAGUUUUGUUGAAUCUAUAAACAUAUUCUCUUAGAAACUAGGGGUUAAAGUUAUUUUUCAAGGUUGUAUAGAAGUGCCAAUAUCCAAACCAUACCCUUUUAGAGGAGGUGAACCCCACCCCGGCUUAAAAAUAAGCCCCUCAUAAGUCCAACUCUAGCCGAACCCCUAUCAGGCUAUAGAGGAGGAUAAUUUCGGUUUUAAUCCUUUAUGUCGCACCCAGCCGAAGUCCUAGACCGAAUAGAGGAGGAUAGUUUUUUUACUUCGCCUCCUAUCCGGCACCUAUAUUUACUCGGCCGCUAUCACUUGGAGAAAAAAUCCCCUCCCACCCCCGUUGCCUCACCCAACCCCACUCUAGCGCCGAAUCUACAUUGGCGCCAUCCUUCCCGCCAUCGCCGGCCACCACCCGCCACCGCGGACUCUCCAUAGGACCCGCCGUAGUCCUCACCCACCUAGAUUUGAGCCUCUCUCGCACCGUCGAUGGUGCAGAAUCGCAGAACUACGGUCGCCGCCACCGCCACCGGAUUUGACACAUCCGACCGUCACCGCCGCCGCCGUAUUUGACGCAUCCGACCGCUGGUGACUGCGCUUUUGUCAUGGAUUGGCCGGGUACUGAAGCGCACAGCCCGGGAAACGCCUCUGUGCCGCAUGCAGGUAUGGCCUCCUCCUCUAGUCGCUCGGAUCUCACUCCCCGAUGGUUCCCUGGCAAAGACACGCAGGUCGUCGGCCAGGCUUGGCACUGGCCCAACAGCUCGUCAGCUCCUCAUUGCCAGUCAUAAAAAGUGACGGCUGCCUGCACGAGGUGAUGUGCCAAGUUUCGACCACGCGAGAAACACCCUGGAUUGGUGUUCUUCAAGUGCAAAAAAUAUGUGGUGAGUGUGAGUUUUGAUUCAGUUGUUCAUCGGAUUCAGCGCAAUUUGUAGCUCAUUUUUUGCUUAAAUUUGUGUGUAGGAUGAAUGCAAGUUUUGGUAUUAGGAGGAGAUUACAUCGAUCUAUUGACAAUGAGAAAUUUGAUAGAUGUUCGUACACUCCUUGCUAGAGUAGAGACUAGAGAUGAAACUAGAUACGACGCAAUAUCGAAUUCGUCGGAAACGAAGAAGAAAGAA